AAUUUUUUAAAAUUACACCAAGCCUGACCUUGGCCUAUAAAUAUGUCCAAUCUUCUACAACUAUAGUAUAGAUUAGAAAGAAACGAUGACAAGAGGUUUGAUGGCACUAGGUGGUGGCGGAGAGCAAGUAGGCAUGGUGGCUUCAAGCUCUGGGGCGCUGCUCUUGCUUUGCAUGAUCAUCAUGUCUCUCUCUAUUAUAUCCAUGGUCAUAUUUGCUUGUGGGGAUUCUUCUACUUCACGUCGUGGAGGUGGUGGUGGCGGUGGUGGUGGCGGUGGUUGUGGAAGUGGUGGCGGUGGUUGUGGCGGUGGUUGUGGAGGUGGUGGCGGUGGUUGUGGAGGUGGUGGCGGUGGUAGUGGUGGUGGAGGUUGCUGAAGAAAAAACAAAAUAGUUUUUACUCAAAGUGUCCUAUAAAGGUCAUAGAAAAUAAACCUCAAAAUUCUUUAUCGUAUGCAAAAAAAAGUUUCCCAUAUUCAUCUUGAUUCGAUGUUAGAAUCCAUGUGAGCAAGCCCUAAUCGAGGUUGUUGUAUUUGUUGAUAUUUUCUUUGUAUUGAAGCUCAGAAAUGAAUGUAAUAGAGAUUUCAUCGUUAAAAUAUAUAUAUAUUUUUAUUUUUUAUUUUAUUAGAAAAAAAUCAAAUAUUAUUAAAUACACUUUUAAAAUAUUUAAUUCUUAUAUAGUGAAACUCAAAUAUAUAAAAUAAUAUAUAAAAAUAAUUUAUUGAUUUUAAAUUCAUCUUUUAUUUUUUAUCACAAUUUUUUUUUUAUUUCUCUUUUAACUUUUCCUUCAAAUUCUUAGGAAUCCAACGAUUUAAGAAACUUGAUUUUAGAUGUUUAAUAGAUCACGUGUCAUUCCAUGUUAUUUUCAAUUUUUUUCUUUAAUAUAAAAUUUUCACAAAUAUUUUCGACAACCACAUGUUCCAAUACCAUUAACAAAUCUUCAUCCCAAAUUAGUUCUUACGUUCAGAAAGUAUUUAAACAAGAAGAUCAAGACCUGAGAUUUUUUGUUCCUUAUCAUGAAAAGUCUACUCCUUUAUGAAUAUAUAUAUAUAUAUGUAUAUAUAUAUAGAGCUUGAAAAAUAAGCUCACGCAGGGCUUUGAAAAUUUCUUUGAAGCUUCAUAUUAGCAAGGUUUCUAAAGAGAACAGAGAAAACCUAUUCAAACUAUAAGCUUGAAUGAGCCACACGGCUUUGAGUUGAAAAAAACGAUCAAAAUUUUGAAAAUUACACCAAGCCUGGACCUCACCUAUAAAUAUAUGUCCCAUCUUCUACAUUUGUAGUAUAGAUUAGGAAGAAAUGAGAAGAAUUGAGCUUUCAGAGCAGUUGGCAUAAUAAGAGGCCCACGUCCUCCUGUGACCCGCAUUAAUCACAAGAUUAUAAGGAUAUGAAAUAGUAAAUUACUUACUACAUCAAAUGUCCUACCUAAUAAAUUGUACUAACUCAUCAUGUGAUGAUUAUGGGACCCAUUAUUUUUAUCUUUAUCCACUCUUCAUAUAUCAUUUUCAGCAAAUUAAAUUUUUAUUGUUUUUUAAAACUCUUUUUAUAAAUAAUUAAAAAUCAACAUUUUUUCUAUUUUUAAAUUAUAAAUAAACAAAAAAAUAUAUUAAUGAUUCAAAAACUAUUUUAAAAAAUACUUUCUAAAAAAAAUUUAAUUUAAAUAAAUAAAAACUAUCUUUUACAUUUUAGAAGUAAAUAAUUUAAUGAUUAAAAUACUAUUUAAAAUAAAUAUAUUUACUAUUUUCUUUUCUUUUAUACUAAAAAGCAUUUUAAGUUUUUUUUUUUUUCUUUUACUAUUCUAAACUAAAAGGUUUAAAUUUUCUUUUAAUCUUCUUCUUUUCUUAUUUUAAUAACUUUUGAACAUGACUUUUGGUAAUAAGUUAAAUAAAAUAUUUCAAAGAUUUUUCUUAAUUAUAUGAAUAUAUUCAAAUUCCACUUAAGGAAUUACUAUAGUGCCACAAAUUUCAUAAUUGCAUAUUUUUUGCAUUAUCCGAGGGGACACAUUGUCUCAAUCACAUAAGAUAUUAUAAUGUCUCUAUUCAGAAUACUCAUUGCCACCAGCCUCCAUAAAUAAUAACACAAUUCAUAGGAAUAUAUGACUAUUUUAAGAUCUCACUCAUAGUUCAAAGUCUCCUAUUAAUUUUAACAUAGAUUUAAUAUCAUCUUAAGGUUUAGAGUUCAUGCAGUAUAGUAGUUUGGUGAAUUAUAACAAUUGAUAGUCUUGCGUCAUAAUUCACUAUAGGUCUUAUCCAGUAUACAUCACAUGCACUAAUGCUUUUUUCAUCAAAAACUUAUCCUAACAACCAUGACAAGUCAUCCUUCUAAUUAACAGGUGAUGCACUAUAAUCUUUAUUAGAUGACCUAAAUCCAUGAACUAAUAUGGACAACUUAUCUACUUAUAAGGAACUCAUGACUUGUAUAUUUUGUACAACUCCUAAUACACAUAAGUCAUAUACAAUAUAAAAGACAUAAGUUGAAUGCUCAAAUUAAUGUUAAUACACUAAAGGGAUAACAAGGAGACAAUUAAGUCUAACUUUGUUACAUUAUGUUUUGCUUUUAAGGGUUCAAUUCCAAUAAACUUUCAUUAGCCCCAAAAACAAAUUGGGCACAUAGAAAUAUUCUACUUCAAAAUCAAAUCAUCUCCCCCUAUUAUCUCACAAUAAGGUAACACUUCCUUUUAUGUGUUUCCUCUUCUAGUGGUACUUCAGUUCUUUAUAUUACACCACUGUCCCACUAUUAUCACAUAACAAGAUCUUAGAUAAUAUAGCUAAGAGAACUACCCGUAAGCCAAAAUGCUUCCUUUGAUUCUAUAGAAGCAACAAAAACCACUUAGAGUGUACACAUGCCUAGAUGUAAACCUGUGAGAAUCCUUAUCAAACUAAAAGUCCAAUUCUCAAUACAAAAGGAGUACCAACUCAUCUCAAGGACUUACAAACAUAUAAUCUAUCAUUCUCUAAAAAUACAUGAGUAUAUGUUUGAUAUUCGCUCAAAGCUCUAAUAAGGAAAUGGACUAACAUCUACUCAUUAUUCAUAAAGCAAAGAAAAUAUUUGGUCUAGCACAUAACAUUGCAUACUUAAAGCUACCCCUUAUAGAAGCAUAGGAUAUUACCUUAAUGAAAUCUCUCCCCACAAAUGUCCAAGGAUAUUGAUCUUGAGAAAAACAACUCUAAAUCCAAAAGGUAACUAACCUUCUUGAAGUUUUACAUCAUUUACUUGACCAAAUGCUCAUCAAAGUAGGUGAUUUGAUGCAAUUUUCCUAUUCUUGCAGUCCCAAAAUACCUUAACCCAAGAAUAUAUCAUGUUUCUUUCUAGAUUUUCAUCUAGAACUAGGUAGACUACUAGAUUUUGAUUGAUGACAAUAUCCCUACAUCAUCUCUAAUGAGUAGAUUAUCAUUGACUUAUAAGAUCUUAGAGCAUCACCAUGCUUCCCAAUACUUUCUUAUACACACAAGGCCUUUUGCUAUGAAGAUGUUUGCUUGUUGUAUCUCAUAAAUGAGACACACUGCGAUAAAUAAGAGUAAUUUGAUAUAGUUGAGUCUGACUAUUAUUGAAAAGGUUUUCUAUAGUUGAAACAAAGUUUCAAACUAUAACCUUUAGUUAUAGUCUUAACCACAUAAGUCUCAAUCUAUCCAUCUACUCUACAUUCUUCUUGUACACUAACUUACACCUAUGAGUUUUAUUCACUUUACCUAAUGAUUAUUCUGAAAAUACUUUGGGAAUUAUAUUUUUUUUCAUGAGGAAUUUUUUUUUUUUUUGAAAAAAUAAUUUGGAAAUAAAUUUUUUUCUAGUAAGGAUUUUUUUUAAAUUCAUUUUUGGGAAUAUAUAUUUGACUUUGACUUCAACAGUAAGUUGAGGAUGAAGCUAAAGUGUUAAUUUUUAACAAAUAAUAUUGGUAUAUAAAAAGUUUUAUUAAAUAUAAAAAUACUUUUUGAGUAAGUCAAAGUAGAGUUUCUACUAGAAGCAAUAUUUUUUUGGCUUUUAUGUUAAGUUCCUUUAAACAAAAUUACCCAAAUAGACAUAGAACCUAUUAUUGAGCUUAAAAAAAAAAAGGUUUUUGACUUCCCAUAAAUUGAUCAAAAUAGGGCCUAAGAGUGAUAGAAUAAUGGAUUUUGAAUUACAUCUCUAGCUAUGUUUGAUUGAUAACAAGUUUAAGAGAAAGAAAAAAGAUUAAAAAAAAAUUAUAAUUUAUUUUCCUUAUAGUAAAACCUUUAUAAAAUAAUACUCUUAAGGCGAAAAGAAAUUAUUCUUUUAGUGGGUUAUUAUAUGAUCGACAUAUAUAUAAUUUUUUAAUUUAUCAAUAAAUACAUAUUUAUUAAUUUAUAAAGAAUAUAUAUGUGUUUACUGAUUAAUACUUAUACAUGUAUAACUUAUAAAUCUAAAAACAAUGGAUAUGACAAAUGGUUAACACAUUAGAAGCCUAAGAAAGUAAAAAAUAGAAAAAAUGGUUGUUAAUUGCAAAAGAUUGAAAGACUCCUAAAAAUGGAAAUGUGAUAUCAAAACUUAGUAUCUUCAAAGAUAAAAGAGGUUUUAAGUAUGGAAUGAUUUGAGAAUUAGUGAAUUGAGAAAAAUGAAAGUUAUAAAAGUUACUAUAUAUAUAUAUAUAUAAUUAUUAAUUUAUAUUUUUUUGGGUCCUUGAGGACUUCUCAAAAUUGUAUUAUUUUAUACAUUUAGUGAGGUCUAUUAAUUUAAUAAAUUGACCUAUGUUAGGAUUAGAGGAUUUUAUUAUCUAAACAAGGUUAUUAAUUUAUAGAACACUCAUUUAACAAGGUCUUAUUACAUUCAAUUGUCCAUAAAAAAGUUAAGCAAAAGAAAAUAAAUUUUUGAACAAUGCACUUUACUCUUUAUUUCAUGGUAUAAAAAUAUAAGAAAAUUUUCUUUAUAAUUUUUUCCUUGGGACUUUGCAAGAACCAAAUAUCGCAUAUAGGUUUUAUAUUUUUAAUUUUAUUUUUCUAAUUUUUAUUUUUAUAUCUUUCCAUUAAUAAUCAUAGUUUUAAUUUUAUUUUUAUUGUUGAUGGUCUAUGAAUUUUAAAACUAUAAUUUUUUCGUUUAUAAAAAAAAUUAAAAAUUAUUUAAAAAUUAUCUCAAAGAAAACUAAUAUUUGAAAUGUAUUUAUAUAAGAUUUAUUUAAAUUUAUUUAAAGAAAAAAUUUUAAAAAUUAUUGUAGACCCUUAUUUUUUGGUCAAGUUUGUUUAUUAUUUUUGAGCACUUUGUUGGCAACAUGUUUUAGAGUGGGGGAUGGCUUCUAUGGUUUCCACGUGAGCUACAUGCAUGGGACAUGUGCCAAUGACACCACCACCUUGCCAUGGUGGUAGUUGAGAUGGGGACUCCUUCUGAACAGAUGAUAGAGGAGUGGGUCGUGAGCAGUAAAACUGGUGAUGGGUUGGAGGGGAAGAAAAAAUCGAGCUGGGAAAGUAGAAGAAGGGGGGAAGAAAGCUAGACGAGGGGAAGAUUUCGGGAAAGAAAACAGAGCAUGAAGGAUAAGGUUUUUCAGCAGGGUUUUUUUGGAAGAAAAACGUGUAGCAGCUUGAGAGAGGGGUUGGGAGCAGAGAAGGAGUGAACAAGACUGUAAGAGAGAGCUGCAAUAAGAGAGUAGCACAGGUAUGUUUUCUAUAACUUGCCUAUUAUUUCUUUUUCACAUGGUUCCAUUAUUUUUUUGUACAUAUUAGGAUUCUAUUUUGGUGCCUGAAUAUGAACUUUAGAAAAUUUUACAUAUUCUUGUUGGAUUUGAGUUUGUUUGCAUGCAUUUUUAUGCUUGAUUUCUAAUCUAUUUCCUUGGCCCUGUUUUGAGAUCCUAUAUAAAAUGCUUGCAAGAUUUCCAUUUGAACUUCAUUUUGGCUCUCUCCCCAUUUUACAGCAGUAACAAAGCUACCAUUUCCCAUCAACCCAUUUAUCUUUCCAUCGUUGCCACUCUCUCACCCAAGCUUUGCACCCCCACCCAUCAUUUUCUAGCAUUCAGCUACAACUAGUGGACGUCUAGGCCAUACCAAAAGUGAAAUAUAGAAAAUGGAGAAGGACAGCCCAAGCCAAGCAACAAUUUUCUUCCUCACAUACCUCAUCGGAGUUGUCUUCAAGUUUGGAGAUGCUGUUUCAAUCCCGAGCGCUUCUCUCUACACUACCAACGAUAACCAGCAUACCAUCUUCUUUUACUUUUCUCACGAAGUGAUCGACAACGCCAUUGAUGAGAACUCCAAGUUGAUCUCUCUUUGAAAGGGCUUGAGUUGCGUUUGGUUCAAAACUUGCAUUUCAAGCUUUGAAAGCUCCAUUUCUAGCUCUACAUGUUUUGAUGUAGCUAGAGAAAUAGGUUUGCAGCUGGAAGUUUGCAUCUUUUUGCAUUUUGCAUGAGAGUUGGCAGCCCCCACCAUGCUUUUCUCACCAACUCAUUUCCGUUCUUUUCCAUGUACACGCCAUUCGCAUGCAUGGCCACCUUAGCGUAUGUGACCAAUUGCCUUCUAGACACCCAGCUUGCUGCUAAGUCUUCACGGGAUCAAAUGCUACUGGACACCUUGCUGGUACCAUUUCUAAUGAGUACUUUUUUUAUGACAACACUAUGCACUAUGCACGACUAGAAAUAAUGUUAAUAGCCACUAGUGUCGCAUAGAAUAUUAUGUUUCAUGGAAUAGGACAAGUUUAAGGAGAUCCAUAAAGGUUGAGAAGGCUGUUUAGAAUCCCACUUUCGUGAAAAGUCAUGCGAAAAUUUGGUCCAAUGGAUUUUUCAGCAUAUAAAAAGGAAAUAUGAUUACCUCAAAUUGAUUACUUGCAGCCAUCUAUUGGAAAUAGUCUUCAGGACCAUCAUAGCAGCUCCUACAUAUGUCCACAUUGGCGGGCUCAAGCUUGUGGAUCAAAGCAGCCACUUUCCAUCCUGAGCCCACACUUUGCAUGGCCACCUUUGGCAUGCAAUCUCACCACCACAUUUCAUCCUUUUAAUUCUUCAUAUUUUAAUACCAAAGUUUAAUUUUCCAAAUUUUCAAUUUUUAAAUAUAAUUUCCAAAACUUCUAUUUUCAAAUAGUUGUCCAAAAUUUUGAUUUUCAAAUAUUUUUUGAAACUUCAAUUCCUUAAUUUGAUAUUUAAAACUCUAAUUUUCAAAACUUCAAUUUCUUUCAAAUUUAAUUUCCAACUCCAAUUCCUAAAUUUAAUUUUCAAAACUCUAAUUCUCAAAUAAUUUUUAAAAUUCUAAUUUCUUUCAAAUUUAAUUUCCAAAACUUCAAUUCUUAAAACUAAUUUUCCAAACUCCAAUUUUCAAAUAAUUUUCAAAAUUCCAAUUUCUUUCAAAUUUAAUUUCCAAAACUCCAAUUCCUAAAUUAAUUUUCAAAACUCCAAUUCUCAAAUAAUUUUCAAAAUUCCAAUUUCUUUCAAAUUUAAUUUCCAAAACUCCAAUUCCUAAAUUAAUUUUCAAAACUCCAAUUCUCAAAUAAUUUUCAAAAUUCCAAUUUCUUUCAAAUUUAAUUUCCAAAACUCCAAUUCUUAAAUUUAACUUUCAAAACUCCAAUUCUCAAAUAAUUUUCAAAAUUUCAAUUUCUUUCAAAUUUAAUUUCCAAAAUUACAGUUCUCAAAUUUAAUUUUCAAAACUACAAUUUUCAAAUAAUUUUCGAGACUUCAAUUUUCGGAUAAAUUUCAAAACUCUAGUAUUCUUUCAAAUAAUUUUAAUUUCACUCUAGUUUUCAAAUAUUUUUUAAUUCUAUCACUUUUCAUCCUUCAUUAGGGUUUUAAGUCACUAAGAAUCCCAUUUUUUAAAAAAUAAACUUGCUCCCUUUCCUUUCAGGUAAGCAUUUUUCUCAAAGUUUCUUUGAUUUUAAAAUAAUUUUUCGUUUUCCUUUAUUUUUAAUAAGUAUGAAUGAAUUUUCGUAACUCCAAAAAUAAUGGAAUUUAUGAUAUUAAUUCAUGCAAAAUCUAUUGGGCUUUGGUGGGAGCCCUACAUAUGAGCUUCCUCUUUCAAGUGUCAAUUGUUAUGCUUAAUGAAUAUUGUUUGAUCUUUGUUCUUGCUCUUAAAUAUGUAUGCGACAAUUUUGUAUUUGAGCUAACCUUAUUUUCAUGAUAGCGCUUUAUUACCUACUGCCAAGGUAUGUUCUCACUCUCACUUUGUUUAUUUAUUCGUUAUCAUGACUUGAUUUUGAUCUAUGAUCAUUUUGGUAUACAUCAAUCUCCUAGUUAAUUGUCAUGUUUGCAUCACUUUAUUUAGUAGAAACUUGUUUUUAAGGGGCUUAAAGGGGUGCUAUGGUCUUUACCAUACCUUCCCAAUAAGUAACCUAACUCUCGAACCCAGGUUUAGUUUUUCACAGACCGUCUUUUUCAAAUAAGGAGUCACACUUGGGUUUUCUUUCUUAUUUUGUUUUUCCUUUAAAAAUAAAACAAAAAUUAGUGGGUACUCCAAGUCAUUUUCUAAAAGAAUAAAUCAUUUUCAAAUAAAAAACAAGUUCUACCAUCGAAUGGGAACGCAUUGUGCGAAAUAUGGGGUUCACAAUUAUAUAUGUCCUAACAUUAUCAUUGGAAAAAAAAAAGUAUUCAUACAAGAUUUAUUUAAAAAUUAUCUUAAAGGAAACAAUUUUUUUUUGUGAAAAAAUAUAUCUCAUAAUAUGGUGACUAAUAUAGGUAAAAUGGAAUUAUAUAAUAUUUAUUUAGUAUAAAAUUUAUAUUGUUUAACUUGCAAUAAAAAAAUAUAAAAUUUCACUCCCAAAAAUUGAUAUUUCACUCUGAAUAUAUCCAAGUCCGCUUCCAAUAGUUGAAUAACAUUUUAAAUGAGAUGCCAAAUACUCCCAUAACCAACUAAAGAUGUUGAAUCAUAAAUGGAAUAGUAUUUUGAAUUUUUAAUCAUUAGUGUAGUUAAAUAGUUUUUUAUCUUUGGAUUACUUAUAAAAUUAUAUAUUACUACAAUCUAAAAAAUAUUAAUUAUAUGUUAUUUUAAUUUUACUCUUAUUUAGUAUAUUAUAACCAUAUUGUCUUCUAUAAAUGAAUUCAUAGUAUAUGUUCUUGUUAGCACUGGAACUUGUUAAAUACUUCCAUUUUGAAGAUAUAACUCAAUCUUACUCAACUUAAAUCAUAGCAUUGUGAUAAAAUAAUGAUGAUAUAAACAAUGUCAUAAUUCUGUCCAAGCAAUAUUCAAAUUCUGCCCUCUAAUGUGUUGUUAAAUUUCUAUAUAAUAAUAAUGAAUUAUUAUAUUUAAUGUGAAAAAAAAAUCAAAUAUAAUUCAAAAUUUUAAUUUUUUUUUUACAUAUUUUUAUAUUAUUUAAUCUUUAUAUAACAAAAAAAAAAGUGAAAUAAGUUUAAAGAAGUAUGUAAAAAAUUAUUUAUUUACUUUAAAUUUAUUUUCUAUUUUCCUUCAUUUUUUUCUCUCCUUUUAUUUUUUCUCACCAUUUUCUGUCUCACAUUUUUCUUCAAAUUUUUCAAAAACAUAGCAUAGCCUUAGGCUAUGUUUGGUUGUUGGAAAAUUUGAAAAAAAAAAUGUGAGAGAAAGAAAAUAGAAAGGAAAAGUGAAAGAAAAAAGUUAAGGAAAAUAAAAAAUAUAUUUAAAUUUAAUAAAUUAUUUUAACAUGUUUUUUCAAUUUCAUUUAUUUUUCUCAAAGAUUAAAUCAUUUUAAAAUAUAUAAAAUUUUAAUUAAUUUUAAUUAUAUUUGAUUUUUUCAUAUUUUUUAUAGUAAAACUAAAAUAAAAAAAUCAUUUUCUUUAUGUUAUGUUUGGUUCAUAAAAAAACACUAAGGAAAAGAAAAAAAAUGUUAAAAAAAUUAUUUUCUCAUAAUUGUAUUAUGAAAAAAGAAUUAAAGAAAAUCAAAUAUAACUAAAAUUAGUAAAAAAAAAAAACUUAUAUAUUUUAAAAUUAUUUAAUAUUUAUAUAGAAAAGUUCAAAUAUAUGAAUUGAGUUUGGAAUAGUAAAUAAAAGUAAUUUAUUGAUUUUAAACCUAAUUUUUAUUUUCUUCUACUUUUUUACUUUGAAGAAGCAAGUAUAAUCAUAAAAGAUUUUGUAAUAUUCCUUUCUCAAAUUUAUUUCUUACACCAUUUAUAUUUUCCUAAUAGUAUAUUAAUCAAGAAGAAAAAAAAUGUUACUUUUCAUAUUGGUGGAAAGUCUUGAAACACAAAGUGAGAAAACAAAAAAAUUGAAGAAGCUUGGAUGUAAAACAUUUUAAGAGUAACUUUAAUAAAUAUUUUUAAAAAAAUUAAUGUGGAAUUUUGACAAAUUUUUUGUACUCCACGUGGUCUAAUACCAUUAAAAGUUUGUACCAUGUUGGUACGAUGGAUGUACCUUUUCCCUUUGAAAAUUGAUUAGAGACUUCCCUUCCUCCAAUCAUGAAGCAAAUUCUUUGAAGCUUCAGGCCAAGAAAAGAUCGUUCAAAGAAUACGUUUGACUAAGCUAGACGGCUUGGAAUUGAUCAGACUCAUCAGAAUUUUGGAAAGUACACAAAAGCGUAGCCUCCUAUAAAUGUGUCCAACCCUCUAUGGUUGUAUCACAGAUUAGAAAGAAAAGAUGGUAAGAGAUUCGAUGGCAUUUGGUGUUGGCAGUGGCAGCUUCGAUGGUCAUGGUGGUGGUGGUGGAGAGCAAGUGGGCAAGGUGGCUCUGACCCGUAAGUCGAUGUUCUUCCUCUGCAUGUCAGUUACACUGUUGGUGCUAGUGGUGGCAAUAGUGGUGGCGUUGAUGAUUUGAGGGAGGAUGGUGGUGGUGGUGGUGGCAGCGGCUGUGACGGUGGAAUGUAUAAUCAUUCUUUUUGUAUUGAAGUUUAUAAAUAGCAUGGAUGUAUACGUAUUCUUUGCAUUUUUUUUUUUCUUUUCAUAAAAAACAUGUUAGAAGUUUUUUAGCUUUCAUACCAAAAUAAAAAGAGGUUAGGGCAUGUUUGUUAAUUGUGUUAGAUAUUUUAGUUCAAAAAUAUAAAGAAACAUAUUUGAUAACCGUAAAAUAUUUUCCAUUCUUAAAAAUGAAAAACACCGAAAAACAUGAUAUUUCUGAUAACAUGUUUGAGUCAUUUUCACUUUUUUUAAAAAUAAUAAGAUAAAUUUGAAGUUUGGAGAUUAUUUUAAAAAAUAAUCAAAUAGAAAGAGAUGAAGAGGAAUUGAAAUGGAAGGAGACAAGUAGUUUUCAAUCCUUAUAUACCCAAGAAAACAAGAUAAUAAUGUAAAACCUUCUUUUAGAUUUAAUGAGUAUUUGGUAAAUCAAUUUAAUAAUUUAAAGCAACUUAAUAACCUUAAAUAAAAUAUGUUUGAUAAAAUAACUUUAUUAUAUGACUUAAAAUAAAAAAUAACUUUAAGUAAUAAGUAAAUAUUUAUAUCUUCAUUUUAUCUUUUUACUUUAUCUAUCCUAAUUAUCUCCACAAUCUUCUUUACUACUUUACAACCUUCAUUAUUACUUAACCUCAUUUACCUUAAUUAUAAUUUAUGAGAAUAAAUAUAUCCAUUUAAUGAUUUAAAAUAAAUUUAAAAUUAUUUUUAUUAUAUAAUCUUAAUAUUUAACAUAAGAAUUAGUUAAUAAAUUUUAAAUUAACAACUUAAAUAUAAUUUAAUUUAAAGUCAACUUAAGUGAUUAAGUAAUAAGUACAAACUCCCUUUUAAUAUCUUAUUCUAACUUAUUUACAUCUAUAUAUGAAGACACGUAUUCUGAAUCCUCGUGUAUCCAAGAAAAGAGUCAAUUAUCCAUUCUUCAUUAAUUCAAAAACGUAGAAUAAAAUACAAAAAAUUAACUGAAAUAUUCCUCAACAAAAACAAGUUUAUCAGACAUCCAUGGCUGGAGUAUGUUAAAACUAGGGUUUUUUUUUUUUAAUUAGAGUAACUUAUUGUAGUUUAAAAGAGUGGUCAAAGCAGGCACAAAGUGAGAUUAAAUACUAAUUGUGAUUUGGAGGUGCUUUCAAAAAAUGAAAGAGUAUUAAAAUGUCAUAAAAUUAGGGAAAAAAAAUAUACAUAUACACCAAGCAUGAGUUCAUGAGAUGUUGUAUUGGCUUCCAAACAUGUACAAUCUUCCACAUUAGAAAGAAAUCGACCAUUUUUAACUUUAAGUUGUGGUAUUAAAUUAUUUUAAUAAAUAUGUUUAACCUAUUUAACUAUUUAAAUUAAGUUAUUAAGUCAUUAAAUUCUUUUACCAAACAUCUUCUUACCCAACCUCAAAAUAUACUUUUGUCAUAGCACACCAUAUUUGAAUCUUUGGAACUUCUUUGAAACUUCCAAAUAGGUUGAAAAGAAUUGAGAUUGUUAAUACAAGGAAAGAUUAUUCAAGGUUUGAUGAAGCAACAUGGCUUAAAAUUCAAAUCAAGAAAAUUAUAUGAAAAUAAUGAAGUAUAAAACAAAAUAAAUAGAAGUUUUUGAAUUAUAAUUAUUUUAAAACAAAGGGGAAAAAAAGUGAAGAAGCUUGAUUGUGAAAUAUUUCAACAGAUAAUUUUUAAUUAAAUAAUUUUUAAAACUUAAAUUUUUAAUAUAAAAAUCUUACAUUAAAAUUUUUUCUUCCUCGUGGUCUAAUAUCAUAUCAAAAGGUUGUACCAUACUGGUACGAUGGAUGUACUUUCUCCCAUUGAAAAUUGAUCUAAUUGAAGAAGAUAGAGACACGAGACUCUGUUCCUUCAAUAUCAUGAAAAGUCUCCUCUCUCUCUCUCUCUCUCUCUCUCUAAUUGAUGAGGUUUUUCUCACGACAAGAAAUGUCAACGACACCUACACGGCUUGGAAUUGAUCAAGCCCAUCAAAAUUUUGAUAAUGACGCUAAGCAUGUGACCAAUCUUCUACGGUUGUAGCAUAGAAUAUUAGAAAGAAAAGAUGGCAAGAGGUUUGAUGGCACUAGAUGGUGGUGGUGGUGGUGGAGAGCAUUUUGGCACUGUGGCUUCAAGCUCUAGGGCGGCCCCUGUUCUUGCUUUGCACGAUCAUUAUGUCCCUCUCUAUUAUAUCCAUAUAUGGUCAUAUUUGGUGGUGUUAGUAAGGCUUCUACUUCAGCUCGCAAGGAAAAAGAGGCGGUGAUGAGGAUGGUUCGAGAUGGUCAGUGUGGUGAGGGUAGUGAUGGCGGUGAGGGUGGUGAUGAGGGUGGUGGCGAUGGUGAAGAAAAUUGUGGUGGUUGUUUUUCUCUUUGUUGUGGAGAUGGUGGAUGUUUUGACUGUUGUUGAGCAAAUGGUUGUGGUGAUGGCGGAUAACCAUCACAUUCUCAGCAAUGGCAGCAACUGCACCGACUGAAUCCCACCAGAAUCAUCAUUGCAUACGUUAUUUAGUUGGGAGAAUUGUGUUUUGGGCUCAGCUGAGCCCAAAAAUUAAGUUUUGGUCCAUGUAACUAAACUAUUUAAGCUGAAAACCUAUAGGAAGUGUCAAAUUUGAAAAGAAGGAUAUGUACUUUUAUUAUUUCCAAAAAUAACCUUUGCUGAUUAUGAAAAAAAAAAAAUUAAACCAGAAUAUCCAAGUUGGAAUUUUGCCCUAAUUUUGCUCUUUCUUCAGCAUUUCAGCCCUAGACAGCCGUUGUUUUUCUCUUCCUCCUGAUUUUCUCCAUUGCUUGCAUCUCAUCUCUAUGCCCCUUUCAUUUUUUCUCGCAUUCGUCUCUCCCGAAAAUUUGAUUUAAGGCCAAAUAUAUUGUCUUAAUCAAUCUCUUGAUUUCAGUUGGGUGUCUCUUGUUCCAUCAUCGAUCCGCAUCAGUGUUGUCAUUCGUGUCAAGUGUCGUUGGCUAUUUGAGGUUAGUAGGUUCUCCAAUUUCAUUUUCUCUCGAUUUCGUCUUUGCCAAGCAUUUGAUUUCAACUCAAAAUACAUUGAUGUAAUCUCUCUCUCAAUUUUAGUUCGGCGUGUUCAUCUUGGUGCAGACCUUGUUGCAUAUUUGAGGUUAGUAGGUUGCCUAAAUCUUGGCCUAGAUUUUCUUGGUCCUAUAUUUUGUUUAAUCCUUGUUGGUAUUAGGAGAAGGAUUCUUGUUUUCUACUAACCUUCAGUUUACAAAGUGAAUGUUGAGUGUUAUUUUAAGGACAUUAAAUGAACAGUUGAGGCAAAGUAAGUGAUUUGGAAUUCCUUGCUGUAGAAAUCUCUUGGAAAGGGGUUUCCAUACUUCCUAAUUCUAAAUAAGACAUUGUAGAUUUGUUGUAAUGUUUUAAAAGAGCAAAUUUUUCUUUUGGAGCAUUGCUAAUUUGAAAAAUAUUUUGGUUGGAAAUACUUCAAAAUCUUGAUGGAAUAGCAGCACAAAAUUGGAAUUAACUCUUUGAUUUUGAUAGAUCUCGUCUCAAAUGCCCAAAGUUGGUAGUCAGACAGUUUGAGUUAUUCUAAGUUGUGCAAGUCCAUUUAGAAGUUCUAUACUAGUAGGAGGAAGUAUGCCUUUGUUUCUAGCUUAUGCUAGAGUUAUCAAGGGAAAGAGUUAUAAAGUUGAAACUUUUGAAAUUAUACAAGUCACUUUAUACUGCAUGGUCAAGGAAUCUGAUUAAACCUAAAUUUUCUUAUGGUGCAUUGGCUCACUACUACAAAAAUAGUUUAUGGUGUCACUAUUUACAGUGUCACUUUUAAAAUAAUGACACCAUAGGGUUUAUAAUUAAUAAAUGUGACACAUCAUAUAAAAAAUCUUCAAUUGAGGUAGUUAGAUGAUAUUAAUUUUAUAUUUAUAGUGUCAUUUUUUGGGAAGUGACAUCAUAUAAAAUAAAUUUUUUUAAGUAUUAUAACUUAAUGAGCCCACUUUUAGAAUUAAUAAUGAUGGAUACUAUAUAAAAAUCCCAUUGUUUCCAUAUCUCACCCACAAUCCAAAAAAUCUCAAUGUAUAAAUCCUAUAUAUAAAAUCAUGAUCUUCUUCAACCUUUUCUCUCACCCAUCCAUAGUCAACAGGCUCAAAACCGACAUUCUUUACUUUGUGGACUCCCAGGUAACCCAAAAUCUCUUGGAUCUAUCAUUUUUUUUCUUUUAUUAAUGUCAUUAUAUUAAUUGUUUCAACAUCUUUGUAUUAUGGUUUUUGUGAAUUGUGUUUUCUUGAGUUGUAGGGAAGAAAAAUUUAGGUUUAAUCUUCUAGCAUGGAAGAAAAAACUAUAGAUUAAUUGAUUUUUUUAAUCUAAACCAAACACAUGAUCAAGUCCUUAAAAAAAAAAUGAAAAACAGGAAAAAAUGAAUGAUUUUUAAUAUGUAUUUAUGUGAGAAUGACAGGUACAAAAUUUUUUUAAGAUAUACUAUCACAUAAUCUUCAUCCUUUCUAAAAAACGAGAGAGGAAAAAAAAAAGAAUGAUUUUUCUGUUUGUAUCUAAGUGGGAAUGAGAUAUAGAAUUUCGUUGAGAGUAUCCAACCCCAAAAGGACCAAUCCGGGAAGGCAUGUGUGGUAUUGACGGGAAAUGAUAAGAUGGAAAUCAUAACCAUAGCCAUGUUCUCUCUGUGUCUUUCUAUCCUCUUCAAUUAAUUCAUGGGCAUAGAUAUUUUAUUUAGUUUUUAUAUUUAGUUUAUUUAUAGUUUAUUUAGUUUCUAAAUCCAAUUAGUUAGAUAUUUUAUUUGAUUUUGUUUUUAUAUUUAAGUAUUUGAGUUUUGGAAAGUUUUUAUAUUUUUUUAAUAGAAAUAGAAAUUUUUAUAUUUUUUAUUAUUAGGAAUUUCUAUUUUCUUAAAUUGUAAAUAUCUAUCUCAAUAAGAGAUUAUUAAUAUUCAAAUGAAAGUGAUGAAAGAGAGUAAAUAUUUUAAUGCUCAAUUAUAUUUUAAUGUUAUUUUUUUUUUUACAUAGCGUUUAUUUAUGUUUUCAAUUUUGAAGUUCCCUUUCCAGUCCAGCACCAAAGUAUGUCCAACCUUAAAUGGGNNNNNNNNNNNNNNNNNNNNNNNNNNNNNNNNNNNNNNNNNNNNNNNNNNNNNNNNNNNNNNNNNNNNNNNNNNNNNNNNNNNNNNNNNNNNNNNNNNNNNNNNNNNNNNNNNNNNNNNNNNNNNNNNNNNNNNNNNNNNNNNNNNNNNNNNNNNNNNNNNNNNNNNNNNNNNNNNNNNNNNNNNNNNNNNAAAGUGAUGAAAGAGAGUAAAUAUUUUAAUGCUCAAUUAUAUUUUAAUGUUAUUUUUUUUUACAUAAGGGUUUAUUUAUGUUUUCAAUUUUGAAGUUCCCUUUCCAAGUCCAGCAACAAAAGUAGUGUCCAACCUUAAAAUGGGCAUGUGUGGUAUUGACAGGAAAUGAUAAGAUGGAAAUCAUAACCAUAGCCAUGUUCUCUCUGUGUCUUUCUAUCCUCUUCAAUUAAUUCAUGGGCAUAGAUAUUUUAUUUAGUUUUUAUAUUUAGUUUAUUUAUAGUUUAUUUAGUUUCUAAAAUCCAAUUAGCUAGAUAUUUUAUUUGAUUUUGUUUUUAUAUUUAAGUAGUUGAGUUUUGGAAAGUUUUUAUAUUUUGUUAAUAGAAAUAGAUAUGAGGACUUAAAGGGUUUAUAUUUAGGUAGUGCUUGAGCCAAUGAAAAUGAUAGUCCACUAUCUUGACCCUAUGCAUCACAAACCAUGUGAGGACUUAAAGGAUAUCGUAAACAUGUAAGUUCUUUCUAUUAUUUUUCAUAGUAUUAUUUUUAAAUAAAAAAAAAUACAUUCACCUCAAACACAUUUUUUUUUAUUAUUUAUAUAUAUUAAAACAUAUAACAUUUAUCUAUUUUAAAAAUGUACCCAUUGAACUUAUUUACAUAGGGCUCUUCGAAUAUCUGCAAAGAAAACAUCUAAGAGGGAAUCAUCUUAGCAACUAGUGCAGGUGACAUCCAAAAAUUUUUCUUUACACAUUAGCUUAUGCAUUUGCACCAUUUAUAUAUGUGAGUACUAAUGUUAUUUUAUAAUUGAUCGAUUAGUGUCCAAGACAAGAAGGAGGGUUCGAAUGUGGCUACUUUGUUAUGAGAUUCAUUAAAGAGAUAAUUUUUGAUCCUACAAUUAUUGCUUCAAAGGUAUUACUUAUUUAAUGAAUUGUACAUAGUUUUAGGCUUCCAAAUGUUAUGCAUUUUAAUGUUAUCUUCUUAUUUGAUUUCAGUUUGGUAAUAAAAAAAACAUAUUCUCAAGUAGAAUUCGAUGAAAUAGAGGAGAAUGGGCUACUUUUGUGCUACAACUAAUCAUGAAUCAUGUUGAUGCAUCAUGAUCACCAUGAAUGGUGAGUCCCUUAGCUACUACAUGAAUUUUUCCAUAGGUAUUGUAUAGUAAUGCUUAUUCUUUGAAUAAUGUUUCUAUUUGAAAAAAAAAAUUAAUUCUUAAAUUUGUUCAUUUAUGAUAACAUAGAUCCAUGUUUAUUUUCUUCAAUAAAAAUCUCUAAAACUCAUUAAAUAUUGAAAUGCAGGUAUACACUCUUGGGAGGGUGAAAUGGAGAAUAUAAAGAAAGAAGAAGGCAACAAGAUUUUGGGUUUUUAAAUGCAACUCUUAUGUCAUACGUUGUAGGACAUAAACGUUACUUUAAUUGCAACUGAGAAAUUUAGAUUUUUAGAUGGGACUUCUAUGUCAUUUUAUGGUUAGCCGGUUUUAUGCUUAUGAAAUGGAGGUAUACAUGAAUCUUGGGAUCUUUAACAUUUCUAAAUCAUGUUUUGGUAUGUAUUCACUCUUCUUUUUUAGUUUUGAUGGGUUUGAUAUGUUGGACGUACUAUCCUUUUGUGAACAUUUGAUAUACAAAUAUUAUUGAUGAUCAAUGUAUUAUGAGUUAUUCCAGAAACAUUAUAGAAAAAUGAGUUAAAUAUAAUAUGAUUGUUAUAUUUAUGGACAAAAUAUAAACAGGUUAAUCUUAUUAAUUCAUAAGCAUUACAAAAAUCAACAACUAAAACCAAUCAUAUAUUCUACAAUAAUUUACAAUGAUGUGAUACCAUAACUCAAAGGUGAUGCAUUUAAUGUGACAUCAUAACUCAAAGAUGAUGUAUUUAAUGUGACACCCUAUCAUCACUAGAAAUAUAUGGUGUCACUUCUGAAUGGGUCACCAUUUAUCUACUUUGGUGUCACUUCCAAAUACGUCACCAAUUGGUACCCUCUAUGGUGUCAGUGGAGAAGGUGACGCUAUGUUGUAGUGACACCUUAUGUUUAUGGUGACUCGUUAUAAAUGUCACCAUAUACCUUUUUCCUUGUAGUGGCUUGAGAUGUAGGCACAAGUAACAGAUUUAUCUCCUUUUAUCUAUUAGUUUUUCUCACCCUUAAAUGUGUUAAACUAUUGUUUAUGGUAUUGUAUGAAUCAUCUAAAGUAGGGCAUGAUAGUUUAGAAGAGAAUUCUAUAUUUGUUGCAUUUUUCAGGCUAUUAUCUCUUCAUAUUAUUUUGCAAAGCAAUGCUUUAUAAUUAAUAUUUAAAUCUCUCCAUUCUCUUUGAAUAGGUUUGUAGGCAUGUCUGAUAUAAUAGUACCAAUAGAAAUUGUCAAAGGGUUUGAGUGAGAAUGAGAAUUUCUUUUCUGCCUAGUCCAAGUAUAGCUCAAAGCUUAAUAAAACAUGGGGGAUUAAUAAAAUGUGUGGCUUUGUUGAACACUUGACCUUUUAUUUUUGAAUUCUGUUUACUUACUUUGCAGAUCACCCCGAGGAUCGAAUAAAAUUUAAAUAGUUGAUAAUAGUUAAAGCCCAUUUGCACAAUGUUUUUUCCUUUAUUUAGAAUUUCUUUUGAAAAUGGGUUAUUUUCAAGUUUUUAUGAAAUAUUCUUAACAAUAAUUGAAAAUAUAAAAAAUAUUUUUGAAUUUUUUGGGGAUAGUAUAGUUUAUAAUAUCUUCAUAGAAAAUAAGCUAAGAAAAAUACUUUAUAGACAAGAUUUUAUCUCUAAAAAUAAUUAAAAAACUGUUAUCAAAUUUUCAAAUAAGCCAAACUAGUUGUUGGUUUGUUCUGGAUCAUAUUGACCAGGGGUCAUCUGUUACUAGAAUUUCUAAGAGAAAAAGAACAAGCACAACCAAUCCUAACCCUUUUUCCUGAAUUCUUCCCUUUGUUAUUUCUAUUCUUAGAUUUUGAUUGGUAGUGUUUUUAAAAAGUAAUUUUAUUCUAACAAGUUUUUUUAUUUUAUUUUUAUUUUUUAAAUUAGGUAUUUGAUAAAAUUUUUAAAACAUUUUUAAAAAUUAAAAUUUUAUUUAUAGUGUUUUUCUCCCAAAAGUAGUUUUAUUUCCAUUAAGAAUAGUUUGAAAAGAAACAUAUCCUAAAAUAUUUCUAUAGAUAACAUCUCCACUAAAAUUGCUUAGACCAUGGCCUUAAAAUUCUUUUUGAAAAUAAUUUUUAUAAACUUAUUAAAGAAACCUUCAAUUUGAAUUUGUCAAAACAUGAAUUUAAAAAUUGAUAAUGCUAAAAUUUACUUUACUCUGCAUAGAUAUAAUAUUUGAGAAAAAUAAAAUCAUUACCCCUUUGAAUAGAUUUAAAAAUUGUUCGUUUUCAAAUGAAAAUGAAUUAAAAGGAGACUAGAAACCAUUAAUAGCUUGUUGUUACAACCUUGUCUUAGAUCUUCUUGCAGUAUCCAGUUAGGGAGUUAGCUUUUUAACUGCUCAGUAUGUUUAUAUUGAUUUUAUGAAGGUUGUAAUGUAUGUUAAUUGGUUGGUGUUGAACAAUAGCCAGAGUAGAAAAAGAUAAAAAGAAGCAACCCCAAGGACUAGAUGGAACUUCAGCAUAACACGGUUGAACCAAGUAGGUUUUGGAUCAUCAACCAACAAUUUAAAAGCCCUUCCAGCACCCACAAACACUGGGUUUUUAGUUAGCUUGAAUUUAUCAAGUGUCCUCAAAGGUUUCAUAUUUUUGCAGGAAGAAAUAUUAUUCUUUUCAUCUUUUUUACUGUUGGUGAUUGCAUGAAAAACAAAUUUUAGGUUUCAUUUUCAUUUUUUUACUUUAUUUUUAUUUUUUGCUUUUUCUUUGUCCAAUUGAAUGUACCAAAAAAAUAAAAGAUAAUCUUAUUUAUUUCUUUUCUUAUUUGAUAGGAUAAAAUUAAAGAAACGUUGAGGUUGUUAAAUCACAUAUGAAAAUAAAUAUAUGAAGCAAUGGAGUUGUGAUAGCAACCUUUUUAAAAAAAUUAGAAACAAACAUUUUCAUUUAUCAAUCAAUUAACAAAUGGGGGAUUAUCCAAAUCCAUUGAUGUGGUAUGUAGAUACAUGAAAGUAUUAUAACAACAUUGAUAUAAAAUUAGCAUAACAUGGCCAAAUUAAUUAACAUUUGCUUAUAUGUCUUUUAAACUUGGAUGAAUGCAGGGCAAGUUGAAGAAAUAUAGAUUGAAGAUAAUGGGCAGAUUGCUGUUUUCCACACAUAAUGCACAUCGACAUCGAUUUAUGGUGGAAUGAUGGGGACUGUUAAAUUGGAUGUGACGAGGAUAAUUUCAAAUUGAUUUUGGAUAUAAUCAUAGUUGAAAAGUUGUAUAAUAGAAGUAUAUUAUAUAUUGCUACCUCAGCUAUAGGUGUAGAAGUUGACAGUGUCAUCUAUUAGGCAAAGCUAAUGUUCAAAAAUGAAUGUAAUUGUAUGACAAUUGUAUAGGGACUUUGGUUGAACUGUAUUUUUUUAAAAAGUAAAUUGAUUGUAUAAGGGAGUAUUGUCAUUUUAAUUAUGUAUGAAAUUUAAUUAAUGUUGCUUUUAUAAUUGAUAAGAAGGUAUUGGGUGGUGGGUGUCUAAUUGAAUUAAUUUUCUGCUUGUAGUAAUAUAUUAUGUCUACCAUAUUACAAACAACAUAUUUUAUGCCCAAGUAUGUUGGGUUUAUUUCUAUACUUCUAGUGGGGGCAGUACAUAGGUAAAUGGAUGUACCUUGGGGAUUAAAUAUCUCCAUUAAAAUGAGGUAUUACUUCCAGGUAAUAGGUAAAGAAUUGUAAUGAAAACCCAUAAACUCCUUUAAAUGCUAGUUACAUGGCAAAAAUUAUAUUGUUCAAACUAUAUAAAUGUUAUAACCUCAAUUUUAACACCAUUGCCUGGUUCAAAGCACCGUGUAAAGAACCUUGAUUCCAAACGGAUAACAACCAUAUUGUUCAAUUAUGUGUGAACACAUAAAUUUUAUAUUUCAUUUAUUCUUCAAAAUUAUUUAAAAUCCUUGAAGAGAGUCUGCCUUGUACAGUUAGCACACAUACCUUGUACACUUAGUGUAAAUGAAUUGUACACCUGCACAAUUUACAUACAACUAUAAUGCAAUGUGUGCAUAUGGAUGGGUUAACUAUGAUUCCAUUAUCAUUACUUAGGAAAAGAGGUAAAAAAAAAAAAAAAAUCAAACCCAACCAUGUAUACCUAAUCAUCAUUUAUGAAUACAAGGUGAUGGAAUGAACAUAUAUGAGGUCAAAUAAAUGGAAGGGCUGCAUGGGAUCAAUCAAUAUGUGCGAGAAAUGUUUUUUAUCCUCAAAUGAGGGAAAUGAGCAAGCUAGUUCGUCAAAAUCAUUUAAAAAACUUCGAGACAUAUACCCUUAUAUACCCUUAUACAGUUAGCAUAUUUGUUUUGUACACUUAGUGUAUCAAUAUGUGCGAGAAAUGUUUUUCAUUCUCGAAUGAGGGAAAUGAGCAAGCUAGUUCGCCAAAAUCAUUUAAAAAACUUCAAGACAUAUACUCUUAUACACCCUUGUACAGUUAGCAUAUUUGUUUUGUACACUUAGUGUAAAUGCCUUGUACAGUGAUAGAAAUUUCAUACAGCUAUAACACAUGAAUCCAUACGGGUGGGUGAACGAUGUUCCAAUUCCAUGAGUUAACAAAAUAUCAAAAAAUUGCUGCCAAAUUACAUUCCUCUUCAUCAUUACUGUGGUAAGUAAUAUGAUGAACAUGUAUGAACUCACAAAAAUGAAUGGGUUGAGUGUGUAAGCAAGUAAUGUGUGUGAAGAAUGUCCUUCAUCAUUGGAAAAUGGAAAUGAGCUAGCAAGUUCUUUAUAUGCCUUUGAAAUCCUGCUGGAUAGAUACCUUGGACAACUUGUACAGUUAGCACAUGUACCUUGUACACUUAGUGUAAAUGUCUUGUACACUUGCACAUUUACAUACACCUUUAAUGCGAUGUGUGCAUGUGGGUUGUUUAACUAUGAUUCCAUUGUCAAGCCUCAGGAAAAGAGGUAAAAAAGUUCUAAUCGAACCCAACCAUGUAUCUCUAAUCAUCAUUUAUGAAUACAAUGUGCUAAAAUUAACAUGUAUGAGGUUAAAGAAAUGCAUAAGUUGCACUUAAUCAACCAAUAUAUGUGACGAAUGUCUCUCAUUCGUUGAAAAGGGAUAUGAGCGACUCAUUUCCACAAAAUCAAUUGAAAUCCUUCAAGACAGGUAUCCUAAUACACCCUUAUACAAUUAGCAUAUUUUCCUUGUACGCUUAUUAUAAAUGCCAUGUAUAGUGGCAGAAAUUCGACAUAGCUAGAAUUGAAUGUCCCCAAUCCUUACAAAAGGGAAAUGAGCAAGCCAAUUUUUAAUUAAAAAAAAAAAAUUAAUCCUUCAACAUAGGUACCCUUGUACACCCUUGUAUAGUUACCAUAUUUCUCUUGUACACUUAGUGUAAAUAGCUUGUACAGUGCCAUAAAUUGAACAUAGCAACACCUGAACGUCUGCUCAUACACGGGUUAAUCAUAUUUGUGAUGUUUUGGUUAAUCAAAUGGGUAAAAACUAAAGUCUAAAUUUGUUUCCCAACUACUAGUCAUCAUAUUAUUGAAAAACAACUACUAGUCCACAAGUCUUACACAAUAAUCAUACAAACAGAUCAGUGAAUGAUGCACAUGAAAAACCCUUCUAUUGACUUCCUACAUGCAAAACAUUUAAUAUUCACAAACAAUUUUCCCUAUUAUUAUUGUCCUACUCAAACAUAAAGGAGUUUCAAUCAUAUAAUUAAUGGGGUCCCAAACAUAAAGAAUUUUAACAAAGAUGGAUGUGACAAUUCAUCCCUAAACCUAAUAAAAACACUCUCAAUCCUCCACAAACUUGGGUUUCAAUUCCAUAAACUAUACUAACCCGAAAACUAUUUCAACAGGUGGAAUAAAUUUUCAUGUUCAAAUGAGGUCAUUGGGCAUAUACCCCACUACCAAUACUACAACGACUUUAGAUAUUCAAGGGAAUUAUUGCUUUUCAGAUCCGUUUGACCUGAAGGAAUUGUUGAGGCAUUUCAUGAACUUCACUCAGUCUUCUUCCCUAAACUUCACACUCUCUUUAUAUGAACCAUACUCAAAUCCUCUUUGAAUUUAUUAUAUUGGACAAUAGACCUAGGUCAUAGCCACAUACACAUUUUAAAGAUAUCUAACACGGCAACUUCAAUUGACCACAUUUGAAACCUAAAAUUUACAAACAUCUGGUAUGGAAAUUUGAAGGGUAUAUUUGUUUAUUGAUAUUUUAUAUCAUCUCUCUUAAUUAUGCAACUUAUAUGGACCAAAGGUUAAUUUUUCAUUAGAAAUAAGCAUGCGAGUUCUUAAAAAGCAUUUGAAAACCUUCAAGAUAGGUAGGCUUGUACACCCUUGUACAGUUAGCAUAUUUGUCUUGUACACUUAGUGUAAAUGCCUUGUACAAUCACAGAAAUUCCAUAUAGGUACAACUAAACGAGUGCUUAAGACUAGGUAAACAAUGUUUCCAUUCUCAUGGAUUAGGGGAAAUGAGGAAAAAGUUGACCCUAAUUUCGAUUCAUAUUCAUGAUUAGUGGAGGAGCUAAUAAAAUGAAUGAACAUGGUGGAUGUCAAAUAAAAUGCAUGCAAUGGGUGUGUGGUCAAGCAAUGUGUCUGAGAAAUGUCCCCCAUGAUUGGAAAUAAUAAAUGAGUAAGUUUUUCAAAAUCAUUUCAAAUCCCUUAAGAUAGACAUCCUUAUACACUCUUGUACAGUUAGUAUAUGUGCCUUAUAGACUUUGUGUAAAUGCCUUGUACAGUGGCAAACAUUUGACAUAGCUACAACAAAAUGAAUGCAUAUGGGUGGGCUAACCAUGUUCCAAUGUGAUGCCUAAGGGAAAAGGGGGAAAUGAAACCCAAUAUAGGUUCCUAUUCAUCAUUAAUGUGGGAAGUCAUCUAAUGAACAUGUAUGAAGUAAUAAUAUUGAAUGGGAUGAGUGAGUGAUCAAGAAAUGGGUCUGAUGAAUGUCCCUCAUCCUUACAAAAUUGAAAUGAUUUUAAAUGGAUUUGAAAUCCUUUAAUAUAAGGUACCUUUGUACACCCUUGUACAGUUAGCACAUUUACCUUGUACACUUAGUGUAAAUGUCUUGUACUGAGGAAGAAAUUCCAUACUACUACUAAAUAUCUACUCAUACAUCGGUUAAUCAUGUUUGCAAUGUUUUGGUUCAUAAAAUAAGGAAAAAUUGAAGUAUUAAUUUCUUCCUCAACUACUAGUCAUAAUAUUAUUAAUUUUCUACUCAUAUAUAAAGGAGUUUCAAUCCUACAAUUAAUGGGGUUGUGCUUUGGAUCAUAGUAGAAUAAUUUUCACAAAUAUGAAUGUCACAAUUCAUCCCUAAACCUAAUAAAAACACACUCAAUCCUCCAUAAACCUAGGUUGGAAUUCCAAAAAAUAUACUAACCCCACAUAUCUACUCCAAAAGGCCAUAUACGCUAUUUAGCAUAUUUUCAUCUUCAUAAGCUGUUGCUGGGUCACUGCUAUCAUCACGACCACACUUGUAACCACUUUAGAUCUUCAUCAGAGUUCUUCAUUUUCUUCGUUUCGUGUGGUGGACCAACCUCACAAUCAUGACAACCAUCUUCUAUGCUUUCAAGAUACGUUUGAUCUUAAGGAUAGCUAUUCUGGAGGAAUUACAUCAUCAUCAGAGAAUCUUCUGCCCUAAGCUCAUCAUUGCUCUCCGUCAACCAUACCCGUUUGUUCUCUCUAGACGAUUGAUCCAACAAGCAGAUUCUAAAGUCGGAUUUUUGAGACAGAUAACAUGCCAUUUUUUAGGAGAUCUUCUCCAUUUCUGAGUUGCUUACAAUCCUUGACUGUUGAAGGAAUAGAUUGGGAGACAUCGAAGUCGAAGAAGAGAAAGGGGUAGAAAGUGGUGACUGACCUUUAUUUCAGAUUUUAAAUACUAGUGACAUGGCAUUUUUUAUUUAACAAAUAUGAAACCCAUUAAUUUAAAAGCAUUUGAGUUGGAAAUUUGAAGGGUCUAUUGGUCUUUUCAUAUCUUAUAUCCUUCCCAUCAAUUAUGAAACUUAUAUGGACUAAAGCUUAAUUUUUGAGCCCAAUUGGGCCCAAAACACAAUUCUCCCUAUUUAGUUUUGGUUUAGAAUGUCAAGGUACUACCCAUAUAAAGGACGAUUCAACUUAUUCCCUAAAAAUUAUUCACUAUUUAACUUUAUUUUAAAAAAUUAUUUUCAAAAAAUAACAAUUAAAUAAUAUUAUAAAUUUUUAAAUAUAUAAAAUCAUUUUUAAAUCAGACAAUGACUUUAAUUUUAUUAAAUUAUUUUUACUUAAAAAAAUGUGAAAAACAAUCUCUAAUGAAUUUUGUUUGUAGAACUUUCUAAUCAAACAAGAAAUGAUUUUGUUGAACAAGAAUUUUAAUGGUAACCACAUGAAACAAAGAAAAAUUAUUUUUUAAAUAUUUUAUAAUUUCUCACGUGAUUUCAAUUUUCUUCAACAAAAGAAAAAAGGUUUUUUAUAAUAAAAAAAAUCCAAUUUGAAUUUUCAAAUUUAAUGUUAUGUCAAUGUUUAAAUUUUUUUUUUUAUGUAGCUGCUUUAAAUUGAUUAUUGGAAGUGAAUAAAAAAAUGUAUUUUUCUCUUAUCGUUUAAUCUUUUUAUAACUAUUAAGAAUGGGAUUUGCUAAAUAAUUGUCAAAUACCUAAGAAAUGGAAAAUAAAAUAAAAUAUCUCUUGUCUAAGUAUCAUUUUUUCAUUACAUGAGCCUACUUUUGAAUUAGAGGUUCAUUUAGAUUUAUUAUUUUUAUUUGUCUAAUUUUAAUUAUAUUUGAUUUAAUUUUAUAAUACUUUAUAGCAAAACCAAAUACAAGAAUAUUUUUUUUAUAUAAUUUUACUUUUUCUUUCUUUAGAUAUACUUUCUAGAAUCAGAAAUAACGAUAUGUGUGAAAAAAAAUGAAGAAUUUUGAUUAAAAGUUUCUUUAAUAUAAGAUUCGGUUUAGUCAUGUGAUUUAAAAACAAUUUUUUGUUUUUUAAAAAAAUUAUUUUUAAAAAUUUUUAACAAUGUUUUACCAUUAUUUUCUAAAAAUAAUUUUUAAUGAAUAAGUAUGAGUUAUUUUUAUCCGUUUUUAAAAAACAAAAGAAAAAUAUGGGUUCAUUUAAUUAUAUUUUUUAAAAUUUGUUUUUAAAAAUUAUUUUUAAGUUAAAAAAUAAAAAAUAAAAACAAUUUUUAAAAGAGAAAACAUGUACAAACCAGCAGUAGAAUUUUCACGAGUACGAUUCCAUUAAAAAUUGUAGCGGCUUGGUAAGAUGGAUGGACUUCCUAGUUUUGAAAACUAACCAAUUUAACAAACCUUCAUCCCACGUAUAUGGACAAGAAGUCAGCCCCAAUGGCCAUUGUUUCGUCAUCCACUUGCUAACCUAUUAAACUCGAGAUAGAAAAUUCAGCCCACGCAGGGCCCCGCCUUGAAAAUUUCUUUGAAGCUUCAGAUUAACAAGAUCUCUUGAGGACAAAGAAAAACCAUUCAAACGAUAAGGUUGAGUGAGCCACAGUGAUUGGACUUGAGAAAACUCAUCAAAUUUUUUAAAAUUACACCAAGACUGACCUUGGCCUAUAAAUAUGUCCAAUCUUCUACAACUAUAGUAUAGAUUAGAAAGAAACGAUGGCAAGAAGUUUGAUGGCACUAGGUGGUGGUGGUGGCGGCGGUGGCGGAGAGCAAGUAGGCAUGGUGGCAUCAAGCUCUGGGGCGCUGCUCUUGCUUUGCAUGAUCAUCAUGUCUCUCUCUAUUAUAUCCAUGGUCAUAUUUGCUUGUGGGGAUUCUUCUACUUCACCUCGCAAGAAAAAAAGGAAGGACGCAGGCGAUUGUGGCGAUUGUGAUUGUUAUUCUCUUUGUUGUGGAGAUGGUUGUGUUGGAGGUGGUGGCGGUUGUUGUGUUGGAGAUGGUGGCGGUGGUUGUGGAGGUGGUGAUGGUGGUGGUGGUUGUGGAGGUGGCGGUGGUGGUGGUGGUUGUGGAGGUGGCGGUGGUGGUGGUGGUGGUUGUGGAGGUGGAGGUGGAGGUGGAGGUGGAGGUGGAGGUUGCUGAAGAAAAAACAAAAUAGUUUUUACUCAAAAGUUUCCCAUAUUCAUCUUGAUUCGAUGUUAGAAUCCAUGUGAGCAAGCCUUAGUCGAGGUUGUUGUACUUGAUAUUUUCUUUGUUUUGAAGCUCAUAAAUGAAUGUAAUAGAGAUUUCAUUGUUAUAUAUAUAUAAUUUAUUGAUUUUAAAUUCAUAUUUUAGUUUUUAUCACUUUUUUUUUAUAUAAUUUCCUUCAAAUUCUUAGGAAUAUAUAUAUAUAUAACUUAUUGAUUUUAAAUUCAUAUUUUAGUUUUUAUCACUUUUUUUUUUAUAUAAUUUCCUUCAAAUUCUUAGGAAUCCAAGGAUCUAAUUUUUUUUUUAAGAAACUUGAUUUUAAAAUGUUUAAUAGAACACGUGUCAUUCAAUGUUAUUUUUAAUUUUUUUCUUUAAUAUAAAAUUUUCACAAAUAUUUUUGACAACCACAUGGUCCAUACCAUUAACAAAUCUUCAUCCCAAAUUAAUUCUUACGUUCAGAAAGUAUACAAACAAGUAGAUCAAGACCUGAGAUUUUUUGUUCCUUAUCAUGAAAAGUCUACUCCUUUAUGUAUAUAUAUUAUUGAUCAUGAAAAGUCAGCAUCAACCGCCAUUGUUGCUUCGUCAACUUGCCAACCUCUCAACUUGAGCUUGAAAAAUAAGCUCACGCAGGGCUUUGAAAAUUUCUUUGAAGCUUCAUACUAGCAAGAUUUCUUAAGGUUAUGUUUGUUCCACCAAAAUUUUAAGGAAAGAAAAAAAAUACGAAGGAAAAUGAUUUUUUCAUGUUUGAUUGUCCUAUAAAAAAUAUAAAAGAAAAUCAAAUAUAAUUAAAACUAAUUAAAAACUUAUGUAUUUUUAAAUUAUUUGAUUUUUAUAUUGCUGAAUUAAAAUAAAUAAAAUGAAUUUGAAGUAACAAAAAAAAUAAUUUAUUGAUUUUUAAUCUAUUUUUUAUUUUCCUUCACUUUUUCUUUGUAUUUUCUUUCUCUUACAUUUUCCCUCAAAUUUUCUAAGAAUCAAACAUAAUAUAAGAGAACAAAGAAAACCUAUUCAAACUAUAAGCUUGAGUGAGCCCACACGGCUUCGAGUUGAGAAAAAUGAUCAAAAUUUUGAAAAUUAUACUAAGCUUGGACCUAACCUAUAAAUAUGUUCCAUUUUCUACAUAUGUAGUAUAGAUUAGGAAGAAAUGCGAAGAAUUGUGCUUUCAACCAGUUGACAUAAUAAGAGGCCCAAGUCCUCCUAUCACCCGUAUUUGAUUACAAGAUUAUAAGGAUAUGAAAUAGUAAUGGACAAAAAUACUCAUUUUACUUAUCACAUUAAAUAUCCCAAAUAAUAGUAAUGGACCUUCCACAUGCUUCAUUCAUUUUUCAAUUUAGUUGUUGACCCUUGCGAGUCACAUGCUGAGGCAUACCCUCCUUCCCCGAGAGCACCAAACCUUCCACAGGUUUCAUUCACUUUUAAUCUAGUUGUUGACCCCCACGAGUUGCACACUAUGGCAUGCCCUUCUUCCCUAGGAUCAUCGGACCUUUCAGAGGCUUCGUUAUCUUUCGACCUAGUUGUCGAUCCUCAUGAGUUGUCAUACUGGGGCAUAUCCCCUCCAACCGAGUUUGCUUGCAUCAUCAUCUUAGUUAUCCUUUGGCUUUGGGUCACUUGAUCAGGUCUUUCAUUCUGUCAGUAUCAGUUUGAGUUUCAAGACCGCACUUAUAUCGAUCGAUCAUCAUCUUAUUAGUUUUAGUUUGAGUUUUGGGGCUGCACCCAUAUUGAUCAGUCAUAUUCCUGUCAGUUUGUGUUUAGUUUGAGUCGGGACCGCACCUAUAUCUAUCGGUCACCAUCUUGUCAGUUUGAGUUUGGAUUUUGGGGCCGCACCCAUAGCGAUCGUCCAUAUUCCUAUUAGUUUGUGUUCAGUUUGAGUUGGGACCGCACCUAUAUCGAUCGUUCAUCAUCUUGUCAGUUUAAGUUUGCGUUUUGGGACACACCCAUAUCGAUUGGUCAUAUUCCUAUCAGUUUGUGUUUAGUUUGAGUUGAGACCGCACCUAUUUCAAUCGGUCAUCAUUUUGUCAGUUUGAGUUUGUGUUUUGGGGCUGCACUCAUAUCGAUCAGCCAUAUUCCUAUCAGUUUGUGUUCAGUUUGAGUUGGGACUUCACCUAUAUCGAUCGGUCAUCAUCUUGUCAGUUUGAGUUUGAGUUUCGGGACCUCACUUAUAUCGAUAGGUUAUUUUCUUGUCUAUUUGAGUUCAGUUUGAGUUUCAAGACCGCACCUAUAUCGAUCGGUCAUUCAUCUUGUCAGUUUGAGUUUUGAGUUUGAAUUUCGGGAUCGCACCUACAUCGACCAGUCAUAUUCCUAUCAGUUUUGUGUUCAGCUUGAGUUGGGACCGCACCUAUAUCGAUCGGUCGUUGCUUUGUCUGAUUGAGUUGAGUCUUGUUCAUCUUCGAGUCAUGCCUACGUAGUUAAGUCUUGUUCGAUCUUGAGUCACAUCCCCUUAUUCGGAUUCAUUCUUUUUAGAGAUCGAUAAUUCCUUAUCUUGCUUAUCAUUAAGCCAUUCAUCGUGCCAUAGUCUGGUGUUACACCCAUCACUUUGGUUGUAUCUUUGGCUAGAGUCUCACCUCCCUAGUAUGUGCCCUUAAUCUUGAGUUUUUCGUGUUAUUGUGUUUAGACCAAAAUUUGGGAUCUUUUCUAUUCUUCGGUAUAGUUUACUUCACUCCAUUCAUUUUCCAGGUAUCCAUGAUUCAUUCAUUACACUCGUGAUCUCACUGAAGAGGGGCAUAUUUGUAGACCCUCGUUUUGGCCUAUGAGUUUUUAAGAUAUUUUGAGAGCAUAGUUUCACCACUUUGGGGAGCUUUUGGUAGCUGGUAUGAGAGAGUGGCAUGGGAGGAGUGAUAUUUUAGGUAGGCAACCAGAGGGUGAAACGAGGCAUGAGAAUAUUCUGGCCAUUAGAGGAUAUAUUUUUUGUAGCUUGGGGAGCAAGUUGGAGUGGAGCAGGUAGAAAGGGGAAGGAAGGUGAAAAGGAAAAAAAUGGGAGGAUAGCUGGUGAGGGACCAUAGGGAGCUCAGUUAGAAAACCAUGGAAGACAGCCUGUAGAGAGUGAACUUUAGGGCGAAACUUAGAGAGGGUUUUGAUUACUGGUCACAGAUAGAGGGGAGAAGGAGUUGUUGUCUAAAACAGGAAAAAGAUAGCUGAGGAGAAAUAUAGGAAGGUCGUGUUGUGGACCUCCAGUUAAGGCCACCUUGAGCUAUGUGUAUUUCCAUUUCUUAAUGUCAUGCUUCAUUCUCUGCUAAUCUAUGAAUAUCGUUUCGUGGUUUACUAUGGACAUCAAGGGUCACAGGGUUGUUUUGGUUGAACAUGAUUAUAUGCAUAUACUUGCUCUGUUUUAUUCUCUCUCAUAUUCUUGAUCUUUUCCCCUGUAUAUGUGUAGACCCUCAAUUUUGUCCCUUUAGCAUAUGUCUUUAAAUUCAUUUUUUAUGCUCCAUAGUAACUCCUUGGUGGCCCAUUAUUACUCAUAUAGCUUACCUUUUUUCUAAGCCACCUCGGAGAUUCUGGUUGAGGGAUUAUCUGACCCCUUAUUGUGAUCAUUGGCAACCCUAAUUUAGACUCAAGCUUUUCAUUCACUUUUAGGAUAGUUUUAGAUACACUUGGCCCAACCUUAGGCUUAUUUAGGUUCACCUAAGCCCUUUUAGACGCACUUGGCCCAUUAAGACCUUUUUUAGUAUGACUUGUAUGACUUGCAUGACCCGCAUAGGAUUAACUGUUUUAUUUCAUUUCAUUUUAUUAUGUUUUACCUUAUUUAUUUUUAUUUUAUUUUAAUCUUUAAUAGGUUGUAAGAUUGCUAACUUUUUUUUAUUUUUAUUCUGUCUAUUUUCGUUUUUUUAUUGUUUGGUAAGAGAAUGGGGGCUACUAUUCAACUCUUACUAAGGUAUGUGCACUCAAAAAGGUAAGAAAACUAUUUUGUGAGGGAAAAAGGAAUUAAUGUGGCGGCAUACAUAUGGAAAUAAAAUAUCCUCAUUCUGAUUUUCGAAAAAGGAAAGGAAAUAGAAGAAAGGAAAGUGGAUUUUCUUUAGCAUAUUUGGUUUGAGAGGCUGAUACAAAUAUAAGUGGAAAAGGAAAAGAAAGAGGGGCACGCAAAAGAGGAUUCUGAGGAUUUUUGGGGGGUUUUUCAAGGAGAAAACGAGAAAAGGGGAACGCAGGGAGAGAUAGAGAAAGCAGGGAAGAAUAAAGAAAAAGAGAAAGAAAAAGAAGACUUAUUCUGAUUCUAGAUAAUUUUCUUCAGAAAAAAAGGUAUGAUCACUGUCAUUUUUUAGAUUCUCAAUCUGCUUUAUCACUUUGCUUUAUUUUCUGUUGAUUUUCUGGACUUUAACUUGUUGAUUGGCAUGGACUUUAAUGUUCAAAUUGUGAUUUUCCUGAGUUUGAUUUUGUUUUCAUAUCUAUUAUGUUUCGGUUCUUUUACGCUCUCUUUGACUUCUCCCGAAGGAAAAAGAUGUAUGGUUUGAUUUUGAGCUUGAUAUUUGAUCCAUCAUAUCAUUGCUCUCUACUUGUCCCACCCAACCCUUAACCUUUGAAAACUAUCUGGUAGUUUUGGGAUAAUGGUGAUAAAAAAAAUGUUUGUCAUUAACUUCAAGUGGUUUCUGGGUUUGAUGGACUUGGAAAUCAAAAGUUUAAGUUACUGGUCUGGUCUUUGUUGCUGCCGAAACGGUUGGGUGAUUUGGCUUUAGUGAGGCUCCUCAAGAUUUCUCUUUGAGUGCUCUGAUGCUGUUCAACAAUGUUGAUCGCUUAAAGAACCAGAAAGGGCUUCAGGUUUUCACUUUCAAGCAGCUACAUUCUGUGACUGGUGGUUUUGGCGAAUCUAAUGUGGUCGGUCAUGGUAGGAUUGGGUGGUUUGGUUGCUUGCCAUUGGGUGUCUUCAUCAAUUUGUGAGCCAAAUUUGGUGUGUCAGACGGCAAUGGUCAGUGCAUGUGCCAAGGUGGGAGAUUUUGCUUUUAAGCUGUUUGAUAAAAUGCCCCACAAGGACCCUAUUGCAUAGAAUACAAGGUGGGAUGAUUUAUUUGAGUCUUCAGGGAAUUCUAUCACUGAGUGUGCAAAGCCGUCCUCAACGCAUGCUGGCUCUCCUGUGUGCAGUGGUUCUGGGAACAUGAAUGAUUAGACAUCGUAUGUUUCAAGACGGGAAAUUUGCUGCAAGGAGAGGAGUGAGACUUCUCGAGAUGCUCUGUCACACAACAAAGUUCGUAAUCUAAUAUGAAGUACCUGAUUGUGGCACUACGUUUAGUUUUGCUGCAGGAAACUCUUUUGGUGCAACACCUGCAAGCUGAAGUUUAAGGUGUUCUUCUUCCAUUUGCUUCAUCAGAUGAAAAUUCUGAUAUAGAAAUACACGGAUAUAGUUCUGCAAGUAUUGAUGAGAAUGAUGUGGUUGAGGUCAUGUUGCCUAGAACUUCAGACAAUAAACACAUUGUUGGAUCUUUCAAAAGAAAAUUCGACUCGCUCCCAACUCCAAUUCAUAUCCUCUUGAAAGAAUGAAGUCCUCUAUGGGCAAGACAUGUCGAGUUGCUCAGAAAGUGCUUCUGUCAUUUAUAUUUUAUUGCGUCAACUCGGGAACGAACAGGUGAACUUCGCUUGAGGUGAGAUGCAGAGAACCAAGGUCCUCGAUUAUUCAAAGCCAAAAUGAAAUCACAUCAAAUGCCUAAACAGAAUGUUUUCUGGAAGUGGAUUACCCUAAAGAUGCUGAGCAUAGUCAUGUAGACUUCAGUAUAUCAUUGAUCAAUCGAAGGUGAUUCAGGGCCUGUAAAAAUGUUUGAGAGAACUAUUAAUUUGGUAAACGAUCGGAUAAUUAACUAUCGAUUUGAUCCGUCUGAAAAGUGGUUGGUUUCGAUUGGAAUUGCUCCGGGUUCACUUGAGAAACCACAGUUUAUCAAAGGGAAUAUGCAGCUUUUCUCUGUUGAACAGCAUCGUAGUCAAGCUCUUGAAACUCAGGCUACAUCAUUCGCCACAUGUAAAGUUCUAUAGAAUGAUCAAUCCUGUGCACUUAUUGGUUUUGCCACAAUAUCCUUUAAUGCUAGACAGAAUGGCUUUCCAGCUACAAUGCAGAUAUCAUUGAGUCUCUUACUGCUGCUGGCGGGAAGUUCAUCUUUGUGCAAAAGCUUCGUGACUUUGUUUCUGUUACAUGUGACGUGUUGCAGCAUAAGGCUUUUCUUUUUAUUGAGGGACUUGAAGAGCAAAUACAGAAUCUUCAUGAGGAGAGUGUAUCAGCUGUCUUAGAAAGAAGAACUACUGAUAAUGAUGAGAUGAUUGAAACACAAGCGUCCAUUGACGAUGCAAUGUCGGUUUUCACUAAAAAUGGUUCUAAAAAGGCAACAGUUGCUGCUGCUGUUCUUCUGAGAGAACCGAACUGAGUAGCACACCAGCAUAUUGUUACGGCCCAUGAGCAUCAAAAGAACCAUAGCAGGGGAGCCAAAUAACCGGGUGGAGACUACCAGAAAUCAUGCUUAAGAUGACGUUGCUCAAUCCUAUGCCAGCGGAGCUGUUUCUAAUGUCCCAAAACCAUUGUGUUAGAUGACACUAGUCCAGCCACUCUAAAGAUCAAAAAAAGCCUAUCGAGGGAGUUGCCUCAUCAGGAAAUGGGUAAAGGAGAUUUAAUUUCUAUUGAUGUUCUUAGUAUCAGGAACUCUUCAUCCUUGAGCGCCAAAAGUUGUAAGUCUAAAAUUUGGAAAGCCAGCUAUUUCUUCUGAACUGCAUGUGUCUCUUAGUACCAUAGGUCAGCUGACCUCAAACGUGAAAUCUAGAAAAGUUGACACUGCUUGCACAGUGGUAGCUAGCUUCUCCUUCAUGCUGAACAAAUUUACAAGGAUUCACGAUCAGUUGAAGCAUCCACAAUUUUUGGUGCUGAAGAUGCUGCCCAUUUUUGCGAGUGAUGAAGCGCUACCUGGAGUCAUUCUGUUUAGAUUUGAGAUUUCAUACAAUUACUAGUGUACAAUCAAACAAGGACAGGGUUUCAUUACUUCUCAAGGAUAGCUUUAUUGAUUCCUUUCCCAAUAGAGACAAACCAUUUAUCAAGCUAUUUGUAGAUACAUAACUAUUCAUUGUUCUAUCAGAUUAUCAUCUGUUAUGCUUUGAGAACGAGCAUGCCUAAACUGUACCAAAUACAUCAGUUCACAACUUAAAGAUGGAAGCCCAGAAACUCAAUGGAGAAAGCAGCAGUGAAAAACAGAGUGCAGAUUGGGCCACUGAUGGAGGACGACUUCGACAUGAAUGGCGAUAGAUCUGUCCAGCUUCUUUGCCGCUGCACAUGCUGCUAAUAAUGCUCAAGCCGUCAUUAUGGCUCUUUGGGAGGAGUAUGAGAACAUUCUUGAUGAUGACAAUCUACACAGAUGCUUUAUUUCAACAGAUUCACGGAUUGAAAAACAGCGGGAAUGAAGAUUCAGCAGAUGAUGAAAAUAUAGAUAUGCAUGAGCAGAAGUGACCUAUUGAGAUUGCUUGUUUUGAUAUCAAGAACCGACUUCCAUCAGAAACAAUGCAUGCUAUCCUACAGUUGUAUUCUAUUCUUACCAGAACUCAUUCCAUCCUUUUUUUUAUUUUUCUCAAUGAAUGAGGAUUGCUCAUGCUUCCACCUUUGCCAACAAGUACUCCUCUUUCUGGGUUUGACAAUGUUGCUGCUAAUAUAAUCCGGUAUAUCCCUGAAGUUCCACGGUACAAAGAUCACCAAAGAAGCUGAUAUGGGUGUGAAGAUAAAAGCCUACAGGUUUAUACAAAGCUGAAAACACUUAUUCAAUGACCUGUGGCAGUGGAUAUUUUCUUCAGAACAUGAUACAUUGGAUUUUAUAUUAAAUGAAGGCAAAAUAAAAGAAUCAACUCCGUGGUUGUUUGAAAAGGUGAAGAAGUAGAUAAUUACAGGAGCCUGAACUAUUCUGGAAGUGUUACUCAGAAUAAGAAGCCGUCCCAUUUCCAGCUAUAUUCAUCAGUAGAAAAUAAUGAAGCAUCCGAUUAUUUGUAGAAACGUGCCACUGUUUAUGGGCAUUCUGAAUACGGUGUGCGGUUGAGUUGAUAAUUCGUCAUCUGAUAGCACUAUCCCUAAAAGUCCUAUAAACCAAACAGCAUCUAAGGUAAUGUUGACCCGAAUGAUUAGGCUCAUAUUCAGAAAAAAACAGAAUUUGAUCCAGACUUUAUUUCCUCUGGUUUUGCUACAAAUAAAGAAGCUGAAUUUCCGAAUUGCACAAGGACCUCUUAGUUCUGAUUUUUCGAUAGGUGCCAAUCUUACCACAACGGAAGAUGUCUAGAAUAGUUUUAAUGCAACACAACCUAGUCUUUGUGGAGGGCUAAGCAAUGUCGGGGGCUAUAUAAUACUGAUCAUCUUCCCAAGCGUUAUUUUCUAUGGCUGAGUUGUUUUCUGAAGCUGAAACAUAAAGACCUUCUCAAUAAGGCCGCCUCUGUGAAUCUUGCCCAGCAUGCUCAAGAGUAAUUUUGGUGAAUUAUUGUAUUAUGCUAGCAACCAGAAUAUAGAUUUCCAAUGCGCCCGAAAAGAGAAGAAUACGGUUCAAAGAAGCAUAAAAAUGAUUUCUGAGUAAUAUUCAUUCUUUGAGGGGAAGUUAUAUCCAAAGAAGAUAAAAACAUUGAAAAUGAAGUAGAAUUUCAGAUUGCAGAAUGAUUUUCAAACUCUGGGAAUCCAAAAAAAACAGAGGAACCCCAUCAAGCAUUCACUUGACAAGCAAGGAAAGCCCCUGACUAGAGUAUUUGUAGAAACUUAACUGAGCUGCUCAGACACGGACCCAAGACUUAAAUCUUAUGACUCAUGGUAUAAAAUCUGGUUUCGAGCAGAUAGUAGUGAUGGCUCAUGAUUGGGACGUGUUGCAUGAGAAUACGUUUGAUGACCUGCCCGAAGAUAUUGACUUAAGCGAACCAACGCUUUCUUCAUAUUUCAUUUCUCGGUGUGGUGAUGGAAAAUACUUUGUGACACUGGGGCACUGCACACUCCUUCCUCACACAAGAAGCUUAAGGUUUGAGAAAGAGAUGCAGGGGUGCUGCAUGCUGCUUUAGAAUCAAAGGCUCCCAUGAGAACAGUUGUGGAUUGGAUGCCUAGUGGAGCUAAAAUCGCUUUGGUUUAUGACAAGAAAGCUGAAAAUGGAUAUUUGUCUGUUGUAGAGCUUCCUCCUCUUGAUAUUUGGGAAGAACUAGAAGAGAAAGAAUUAAGUUUUGAUGCCUCAUCUUCUGAAAUAAUAUAUGGGUCAUUUGUAGAUCUCAUGUGGAUGGAUGCACACAUACUUCUUGGUGUUUCUCCUUUCGGGCUCAGUCACAGCAGUCACUUUUCACAAUCUCCGUCCAACAAGGAUAUGCUUCACGGGUAUUAUUUGCAGGAUAUUGAGCUUUGGUAUUCUGAGGAUCAUGUCCCAAGUUUGAGAUUCUGCUCACGUUGGCAUGCAGAGAUCGCCAAUCAAAUACCUCUAGAUGGAAUCUCAUUUGGGCCUUGCUCCUAAUCCCACAAAAGGGUGUUCAACAUUUAUUCAGUUUGAUGGUGGCAGAGUCUUUGAAAUAUAUACCAAAUUUAGGCAUCAUGGGAGAAAAGCCUGGAAUUCUCAAGAAAAUGCUUACGGGCUCUGUUAUUUAAAAUUCGAUCCUUUGUGUGAAAUGGCCAAGAUACAAGGCUUGUUAUCAGAUUGAUUUGAUCAUGAAAGAUGCAGUGCUGCACUCACUAGCUUGAUUGAUUGGCACCAAUGCUGGCGAGUUUCGGAGCAUUCCUAUCAGCUUUAAAGAGCCUAUGAAACGGUAUAUUGUAGAUGGAGACUUGGAGUCAGUUCUUCAUGCAUGAAACAAUGAUGGCAAUAUUAUGCAGCAGUGGCUCAGGACCCAGAACUUGUUCCAAUGCUGUGUUUAAUGGGUGCAGAAUUUAACUUACAGGCCACAUGAAUCGAACUCUAUUAUGGCAGAUUGAGGAAAAAGUUGAAAGGCUUAAUCAAUUGAAAACUAGCAGAAUACAGAAAACCUCUCAAUGCAGAAAACUGGAAAUUUUGAACCUUCUAUUCAGUAUUUGGCUUAUGUUGAGGAGAAUCCAGUUGAGUUUACAAAUCAAGAUGUCUCUUAAGUUGAAGCAUUUGACAGUUGAACACUUUUGUAGUGAAUUGGUCCCUUCUAUCCAGAAUCUCUCGGCUUCACUUCAUGGCAACCUUGCUAUACACACCUUCUCCUCUAUUCACUUCUUUGAUUGGGAACUUACUGUUUUAAAUAGAAUUUUCGAACCAUUGUUCAACUAAACAUUCUCGGCUUUGAAAAAUUCAUCUUAGGUCUUCUCUAGGUAUAAAAUCCAUAUUCUAACACACUCUUGCUGCCAUUCUCCUUCCGGCAUGCAUUUUCACUAUUUUAUUCAAUUUUCAACUGAUUUUCUUGAUUUUUCUCAAUUUUCUCAAGCAUGAACAAACUCCAUAAUUCCAAGUCAUGGAAUUUAUGGAAUCAACUCAUGCGAAAUUAAUUAGGGCUUUGGUGGGGGCCCGACAUUCAUGAUACCUUCUUCAAUAUUGUUUGCUUGAUAUGUUGAUUUUUGAUUCUUCUUGAUGAAAUAUUUGAAUUCACUUAAUAUUUAUUGUUGAGAUACCCUUGUUCCCAUAAGACGUGUGGAUGUUCGCUAAUCAGGUAUGCUCUUCUCACCUUACAACUCUAAAAUUCUAUGAAUGUGUACGUUAUCAUGAGCUAUGAUCCUGUUUGAUGGCAUGAUUGAUUGCCUUGAUGCUUGUUUGAUCAUCUUUGACAAAACACAUAUUAUGUGUCAUAUUUCCAAACUAAUCUCUGAUGUUUUGUGAUAGCGCUUGAGAGGCAGUCCAGGUACGCAUCCUAACCUUCUUUUAUUAUGAUUUGGUCUUGUUUGGCAUGCUAUUUUAUUUGGAAUCACCUAGCCUGCUUAGGUACUUAUAAUUAAUCAAUUAAUUGUCACAUUUCCCUCAACUUAAUUAGUAGAGACCUUUUUAGGGCUUAGAGGGGUGUUACCUUUUAAAGGUACCUUCCCAAUAGGUAACCUGAUCCCCGGACUUAGACUCGGGUUUUUCAAAGACAUGCUUUUUCCAAAAAUUAUGGAGUCACAUUUUAGGGUUUUUCUUUCUUGUUUUAUUUUCCCUUUAAAAUAAAAAUAAAAUAAGUGGUGGCUCCAACUUUUUUCCAAAAAUUAAUUUUUCACAAAUAGAAAGCGAGUCUCGCCAAUCGAGUGGGGGCGCACAUGAAAAAUGCGGGUCCACAAUAUGGUUGGAUUCUUCUUUGGGUUUGAUGUUUGAUAGUUAUAUUGAGAACUUCCAGUUUAUCCCACCUGUUUUGAGCCCAUGGGUCGAUCUUGAAAAUGUGGCUCCAUUGGGUUUCUAUUUUUCAUGGUUGUUAUCUUUCUUCAUUCUCUAUUCUUCUUUCACUAUUUGUUUUGAUCAAAGAGACACUCCAGUUUCCUGGUAACUGCUUCACCAAUGCUUUGUAUGAAUUGAGAUUUUCGAGAUGACAAAAAUGGGUGAGCUUUAUGCUAGAGGAAGUUCACAGGAAAUGUCAAAUGAAAAGAACAUAAAAUAGGAUGAUUGAUGCUUUGAUUAUGAAAGUGCUUCCAGAGGAGAGAAGUUGAAUGAAAUUUGAAAAGUAAAAGGAGAAAUCCAAUUUGAAUAAAGAGAAUGACUUUUUUUUAGUGGUUGUGAUAUAGAAAAGGGGUCACUAAGUGCUCAAACAGAUGCAUAUUCGAGCACGAUUGGCUAUUUCAUUGGUGACAUAUGCAAGUCUUGGUUUGAAGGAUCCCCUAAAACACCAGAAAUCAUACUUCGUGUUAUCCCACUGUAUUCCAAUAAUAUUAAUUCCAUCUCUCCAUGCACGUCAGAAUUGUCGCCUUCAUUCUCUCUUUCUCACAAAUGCUACCCUAUCACCCAUAUCUAUUGUACUUUAUUUCUUGUGCAUAAUAAACCAUCUCCAAUGAUAAAAUAUGACAUUCCGUUACCCCCUGCCCCUUGGAAUGUUUGAGAUUUUUCCCAUCCUAUUCCCACUUGCGCAUAGAGAUACAUGACCAUUUUGUGUGUGUUAUUUUCAAAGCCUUGGUUGCUGAAGGAGUUCAUGAAAAUCUGGUUGAUUCAAUAAUAGGGUUUGUUGAAACGGAAGAAGCACUAAUGUCUUCAGUUAACAAGAUCACAUUUGUUGAAUCACCAAAUGUGCUUCAAAAGCCAUUAGGUACUACCUUAAUAGCCCUUAGGUACUACAUUAAGGGGCCUUAGGUACUACCUUAGCUAAAGUUGGGGUCUACCUUUCCCAAGCCUCGGGUCUUCCUUUGUAAGCCUUAAACUAUGCCAUUAUGUGGUUCUCUUGUGUGCUCAAGUGGUUCACCUUUGGUUUUUUGGGACUGUACCUUAGGUACUACCUUAAUAGCCCUUAGGUAUUACCUUAAGGGACAUUAGGUACUACCUUAGCUAAAGUUUGGGUCUACCUUUCCCAAGCCUCGGGCCUUCCUUUGUGACCCCUAAAUACAUCAAUGUCGGCACCGAAAGCAAACUGAAUUAGGAACUCAUGAGCCACAUCCUUCCAGUUGCAAAGUCUCGAAGGCUCAAUUGAGGCAAACCAUCUCUAAGCAGCCCCACUAAGUGACAAGGGGAAAAGGGCCACCAACUAUGCAUCAUCUAUCCCAUGUGCUCUCAUGACUAUGCUGUAUAAUCUUAAGUGGAUCUUGGGACAACCAAUCCCACUAUAACUCUCAAUGUCUGGCAUGCGAAACUUGGUGGGCAAGCUAGCCGCUGGUAUGUCAUCCCUAUCAUUAUAAGUCAAACCUUCAUCAUGUGAUUUGAUUUGCCUCAUCCUGGACUCAAGCCUCUCAACCCUGGCUUCAAGCCUCUCAACCCUGGCUUCCUGCUCGACUAAUCUAUUAUCAUCAUUAAUAGUAACAAUAGGAGGCAACAUUAUGACAUCAUAUGGUGGAGUAGUCUCACAAUGAUCUGAUAGAUGGAAUGGAACGCCAUGUGAAGUCCCAAGUGGAAGAACCUGCGCUGUCUGAGAUGCAUGGGGAACUGUCUCGUAAGUGCUAAUGCCGACUGGAUGAUGAUCCUGGCAAUAGCUCUCUAUCUGAUCCAAGCGUCUACUGACUCCUACCAUGAACUCCUGAAUAGAAGCAAGUGUGGAAGCUAGCUCGUCUGACAUCUCAACUGAAUUAUCUGAACUUUUAUGUGAAUCUACUAUGAUCAAUCGACCUCCAACUUUCCUCCAAGAAUAUGACUCCAGACUCAACCAACUCCUAAAAUGACUCCCUAGAUGGCUAUAAAUGCGACUAGAGAAUUUGCGUCAAUAAUCCAAGAUGAAAGAGGUGUGAGAAGCAUACUAUCAUGAGAUCGAUACUCCAUCUAUAACCACAUAUCCUUAACUCAACCUUCAACUCGAGCUCCAUAAAGAGAACAAAUGAUAAGGUGAUCAAGGCAAAUCUCUUGAAAAAAGUGUAAAUGCGGAAAACUUGCCUUUCACCUUUCUAUAAUGAAAAUAUGAGCAUCAAGUCGAAAAUCGAAUCAAGAAUCAAACAAAGAAUAAGGUACUGGGCUCGUGAUAGGUAUACAAUGUAAAAAAAUGAUCAUGAUCAAAGAACAUAUCCCAAAGCAUCAAGCAAAUGACAACCAACUAAAAAGGUGUGCCAAGCCAAAAAAAAAAGACGAAAACGCUAGGGAGAAAACAUGUCAAACUUAAUAAGUGAAAAGAAUAAUCUAAUGCAACACAAUGAAGGAUAGUCCAAACUGAUACACAAACUCGCACCAAUCUCUAAGCAAGCUCAAUUGGAAACCAAAAGAUGGAGUAUUGGAUUUGAACUGUAACUAAAGAGGCUUUGAAGGCCCUCAGAUGCACCCACAUAUAAAAAAUAAGUCCUAGUCGAAAGAUCUAAGGUUCAACCCAUAAGGUCAAGAAGGCUCUAAAAAGAAAAAUGGACUUUAAAAAAUCCUUAGCAGAAGCAAUCGUACCCUUCGAUGGUACGCAACCCUUUGCACACCUCUGAAGAGACGGGGCACUUCCAUGCAAGGUGGUCAUCACCUCCACAUAUGCACUACCUCAACAUCCCAGGGAGACUCUUAUGGUGAGGGCUCUCCUAAUGGCUAGCGUAUCUCACAACUCUGACCACUCAUCGACGAUCUAAAGUGCACAGUGAGUGGUGUGGGUGCAUCCAAAAAUCCUAUGGAACUAAAGGAAAACACACUGACCACACAAAUAUCCUGAAAUCUAGCUUUGGGUUAUACAAGUCUUCAAAGGUCGGACUACAAUCAACAUCAAUGUGUCGGCCACCUCUAGAAUGCUCCCAAACAUAGAUAUAGCCCAUUGCUAGACUCUAUUCCUAAUCACUACCUCAGUCGAAGAGCAAACAAAGCAACAAGUCUCAUAUCAAAUACGAGAUCAAGGAAAACAAAGUCAACCAAGACUGAAGACUUGGAGAUGAAGAGAUAUAUGUGUGUCCCACAUAGACAAACAACUCAUGCAAUCACACAAAAUGAGAGAAGUCAUGCAACAUACAGUCAUGCAAAUAACAGGUAUAUCACUCAUAUCUACACACAAGUUAGGCAAGAGUAUGAUAAUUGAGAUGAAUAUCUAGCAAGGAUAGCAUGCUCCAUGAUAAUCAAGAUAAUAUACAACCAAGAGAAUCAAUCAUGCCAAGAUGAAUGAGAUAAGCAACAAAAAGAAUGUACAUGUCAAGGUGAAUAGAGUAAUCAAACAGCUAAGAGAGUCAAUAUGUGAGGAUAGUUGAAAGGAUCAAUCAAUAAAAUCAACAUGCAAAUGCCUCAAACAAAUACAAUAACCAAGCAUGCAUCAAGGAUAAUGAUACCAAGAGCUCUUAAUGUGCAAUCAACAAUCAAGCAAACACACGCGCAAAGAAAGGUGGGUACCCACUGAUCGACCAAUCAAACGCCACAUUUGUCUCAACCUAAGUUCGAGCUUGACCCUUAAAAAUCCCCAGUAGAGUCGGUAUUUUGUGGACCCCGCAUUUUCGCUCGAUGUGUUCCCACUUGAUGGCACAACUCGCUUUUUAUUUAUUCGGUGAAAAUAUAAUUUUUAGAAAAAAACUUGGAGUCGCCAUUUAUUUUUGUUUUAUUUUUUUUUAAGGGAAAACAAAAUAAGAAAGAAAACCCUAAGUGUGACUCCUUAUUUGGAAAAGAGAGUCUAUGAAAAACCAAAGUCAAGUUCGAGGGUUAAGUUACUUAUCAAGAAGGUACGGUGAAAAAUUGAAGCACCCUUCUAAGUCCCUAAAAACGGGUCUCUACUAAAUAAGGUGAGGCAAGUAUGACAAUUAACUAGGAAAUCAAUGGAUACCAAAAUGAUCAUAGGUCAAAAGCAAGUCAUAAUAAUGAAUAAAUAAACAAAGUGAGAGUGACAGCGUACCUUGACAGCAGGUAAUAAAGCAAUAUCAUGAAACAUAGUUAGUGCAUGAUAAUGAAUACAAAAUAUAUCACAUGCAUAUCAAAGAGCAAGACAAAAAUCAAGCAAUAUUUGUUAAGCAUAGCAGUUGACAAUCAGAAGAGAAAGCUCAUUUGUAGGGCUCCCACCAAAGCUCAAUUGAUUUUGCAUGAAUUAAUCUCAUAAGUUCUAUUGUUUUUGGAGUUACGAAAAUUCAUUCAUGAUUAUUAAAAAUCAAGGAAAAAGAAAAAAUAUUUUAAAAUCAAAGAAAAUUUGAGAAAUGUGCUUACUUGAAAGCAGGUUUAUUUAAAAACGAAAUUUUUAGCAACUUAAAACCCUAAUGAAUGAUGAAAAAUGGUAGAAUUAAGAAAAUAUUUGAAAAUUGGAGUAGAAUUAAAAUUAUUCGAAAGAAAAACUAGAGUUUUGAAAUUUAUUUGAAAAUUGAAGUCUCGAAAAUUAUUUGAAAAUUGAAGUUAUGAAAAUUAAAUUUAAGAAUUGGAAUUUUGGGAAUCAAAUUUGAAAGAAAUUGGAAUUUUGAAAAUUAUUUGAGAAUUGGAGUUUUGAAAAUUGAAUUUAAAAAUAAUUAAAGUUUGGAAAUUUAAAUUUUUUAAAAUUAAAUUUAAGAAUAGGAAUUUUGGAAAUUAAAUUAAAAAUUGGAGUUUCGAAAAUUAUUUGAAAAUGGAAAAAUUAAAUUUGGAAAAUUAUUUGAAAAUAAAAGUUUUGAAAAUUAAAUUUAAAAAAUUAGAAUUUUGAAGAAUUAUUCAAAAAUAGAAGUUUUGAGAAUUAAAUUUUAAAAUAAUUAAAGUUUGGAAAGUUAAAGUUUUUAAAAAUUAAACUUAAAAAAUUGGUGUUUUGAAAAAUUAAAUUAAAAAUUGGAGUUUUGGAAAUUUAUUUGAAGAUGGAAUCUUUAAAAAAUUAAAUUUGGAAAUUGGAACUUUGAAAAAUUAUUUGAAAAUGGAAGUUUUGAAAAUUAAAUUUGAAAAAUUGGAAUUUUUAAGAAUUAUUCGAAAAUGAAAGUUUUGAGAAUUAAAUUUGAAAAUAACUAAGAUUUGGAAAAUUAAUGUUUUGAAAAUUAAACUUAAAAAAUUGGAGUUUUGAAAAAUUAAAUUAAAAAUUGGAGUUUUGAAAAUGGAAUCUUUUAAAAAAAUUAAAUUUAAAAAAAAAUAGAAAUUUUGAAGAAUUAUUUGAAAAUGGAAAUUUUGAAAUUAUUUGAGAAUUGGAACUAUGAAAGACUAUUCGAAAAUGAAAGUUUUGAAUUAUUGGAACUAUGAAAGGUAUUUGAAAAACUAGAGUUAGAAAAGUUAUUAAAAUAUCAAAAAAUAAGAAAGGAACAAGUGCCUAUUGGACCGUGUGCCAAAGUGACCAUGCAAAAUGGGAGGUGAGGGGCCUUUAAAUAAUGUUCAUGGGCCUUACGCAUCCUGGUAGCACUAAAAAAUAAAGCAUUCACACGUGUGCUCCAUACUUGCAUGAGCCAGUCCGCAUGUAGUAGGGGCCCUCUUUCUCUGUUUCAUCACCAAAGAGAUCAAGGUCAUCGUCAUCAUCUCCGGCAGGAGCAACCUCCUUCACUUCAUUGGGAGUAGCUUCAACAGGAGUAGCUUGGCAGCCUACUCUCACCCCAAUAGCUUUUCUGGGGAAUUCUUUGGGCAAGAUGCGAAGAAACACUACUGUACCGCUUGUUUGCAUUUGGGAAGUGACUUCCAGACUUUUCCGGAACCACGGCGUAAACAUUUACAUCAUCCUUCGUUAGAUGAUCCCUAGCGAUGUAGGCUUUUCCAUAGAGGAAUUCGUUUAGAGACUGGAGACCAAUCCCAGCGUGUAGACCUGAGAAGGUGAUGGCCACUGAGUUCAACGAAGAUGUGAGAGAGAGAGAGAAAGAAAGAAAGAGAAAGGGGUCGGAACACCGGAGCUUAACCACUAGAAAGGAAGACAUUAAAGGUUGUGGGCAAAUAAGAAAUGAACGGUGACUCGAAUGUAGAGAGAAGCUCUAAAAAAAAUGAAAAGAGGUUGGCCAUACCCAUGCAGUCCAGCAACUCCAUGUAACAGCUCUUAAAGAAGGUGUUCAAUAAUGGCUCCCAAAAUAGUGGACGAUGUACCCAGGAAGUGUGAUGAAAGUUCUCCAUUUCUCCACUUACAUAAAUGGACUGGCCUACUUCCUCAUUAAUCAUCCAUCGGAACAAACAUGUAGUGCCCAACCCUUACUCUCGGUCAACACAAUAAUGUUAAAAAAAAGUCAACAAAAAAUAGAGCAAAAUAGUGAAGAAAAUAAGAAAAGAAAAAAAAAAAAAAAAACGUUGUGGCCAUACCUGAUAGGUCUCUUCUUGAGCCCAGCUUCCAACUCCCUUUCUCAAGCUCUCUCCCCAAAAGUCUCUAUUCAGCUCUCAAAAUCUUACCCCUCCAGAAUCUGCCGACCCGCCCGGUUCUCCCCUUCUCCCAGUUUUUUUUCUUGUCUACGUUUCUACCUCUUCCACUGCUCCUCUACUCCUUGCUCAGAAAUGUCUCUAUCCCUCAACCACCACCAUGGCAAGGUGGUGAUCCUUGCCACACGUGCCAUGCAUGCAGUUUAGUCUUUGAAGAAGCCGACCCCCACUCCUCCAAGACGCUGCCAGCUCUUCCCGGGAUGGUAAAAAAAAGAAAACAAAAAACCCUUCUCCACAAAGGGGUGUAUUGAACAACUUAAAUUAAGUUAUUAAGUCAUUUUAAAUCAUUAAAUUAAUUUACUAACCACUCUCUUAUCCAACCUCCAAAUAGACUUUUGUCAUAGCACAUGGAAUCUGAAUCUUUGAAACUUCUUUGAAACUUUCAAAUAUGUUGAAAAGAAUUGAGGUUGCUAAUAGAAGGAAAGAUUAUUCAAGUGAAGGUUUAAGGGAGGAACAUGACUUAAAAUUCAAAUCAAGAAAAUUAUAUGAAAAUAAUGAAGUAUAAAACACAAUAAAUAGAAGUUUUUGAAUUAUAAUUAUUUGAAAACAAAGGGAUAAAGGUGAAGAAGCUUGAUUGUAAAAAUUUCAACAGAAUUUUUUAAUUAAAUAAUUUUAAAACUUAAUUUUUUAAUAUAAAAAUGUUACAUUAAAAUUUUUUAUUCCUCGUGGUCUAAUACCAUAUCAAAAGGUUGGCUCUGAACACCAAUCUAAAAAUACGGCUCUAAAAGCUAAACUGUAGAUAUAGCUCUGAAUACCGAAUUGAAAUCAUAGCUUUAAACGCCAAACUGAAAUCAUGGCUCUAAACGUCAAAUUGAAGAUAUGGCUAUAAACGCCAAACUAAAGGAGAUAUGAUGGCUCUGAAUGCUGAACUAAAAAUAAGCAACGACUCUAAACCCCAAACUAAAGAUGCGACUCUAAACACCAAACACUGAGAUAAAAGCAAUAUCAUUGUCCGCGAUCAUUUAUGCACAAAACCAAAAACUGCAUUGCGAUAGACAAGAGAUUGAUUAAAAUUAAAUCAUAAUAAAUUAUUGAAUGAUUAUAAUUAAGAAUAAAAUCACGUCUUAAGUGGAAUUUUGCCAUUAAAUGGAGGGAUAAAAUCACUGGUGAAGCCAAUAUAUGCCUAAGUAGGUUUGAAACCAUUGUUUCGAGUUGGAUUUAAACCCAAACUAUAAGAUUUAGGGCCUAUUUUAUAACUGUUUUUUAAAACAAUUUUCUAUUCUUUAGAAAUAAAAUAAAAUAAAAAACAUAUUUAAUAACCCAAAAACAAAAAAUAGUUUUUUGUUCUUAAAAAAAAAAAAACGGUAUAUUUUUUAAUAACAUCUUUUAAUGUCCAAACAGGUUUAAAAUCAUUGUUUUGAGUUGGAUUUAAACAUAAACUACAAGAUUUAGAGUCUGUUUAAUAACUAUCUUUUUAAAAAAAAAUUCUAUUAUUUAAAACAAAAAAAAACAUAUUUAAUAAUUAAAAAACAAAAAAUAGUUUUUUGUUUUUAAAAAUAGGAAACUAUGUAUUUUCGAAUAACAUCUUUUAAUUGUUUUAAGUUAUUUUCACUUAUUUUUGGAUGACUACUAUUUUAAAAAAUAAUUAUAUAAAUAUAGAGAAUAAUUAAAAAUAAAGUACUACAUAACAAAUUAUUUUUUAAAAACAUAUUAAAAAGCAUUAAAAAAAAGUUGAAAAUAUUUCAAAUCCCAAAAGGACCUUUAUUCCACAGAAGAUUAAAGUAAAGUUUUCAAAAACUAGUUUUUAUAAACGGUUAUGAAAUAAAUUUGUUAUAUUUUGCUCACCUGCCUCACAUUUCUGGCUCUGUCACCGGAUAAAAUCCUUGCCGCCAACCUAAGAAAGCUCACCGCCAGAAAUGGUGCCAUCUUCCUUUAGAACCUGGAAUUCCCAUGCGCCACUCGUUUUGUCUAUCUCCUCAUUCACCGUGGGAUCUUGAUUUACCUUUAGAUUAAAUUUUUAAUAUUAUUGUUUAUCUGCUGUCUUUUAAAAAUAAAAUAAAUUAGAAAAUAAUUUUGUAAAAAUUUAUAUUAGUUGUUUUAAUUUGAUUUUAAAAAUAAAAGAAAAAUAUGAGUCUACUGGAUCAUAAUUUUUAAAAAUUUAUUUUUAAGUUAAAAGGAAUAAAAAACCGUUAACAUGAACAAACGAGUCCUAAAAUUUUCGCAAGUAGUUUUGACAACCACGUGGUCCAAUUCCAUUAAAAAUUGUAGCAGCUUGAUAAGUGGGUGGACUUCCUAUCAAUUCAACAAACCUUUGUCCCAAGUAUACAGACAAGAAGACCAAGCCCACAGAUUUUUUCUUCCUUAUCAUGAAUAGUCUACUCCUUUAUGAAAAAUAUCAUGAGAAGUCAGCAUCGAUGGCCAUUGUUUCGUCAUCAACUUGCUAACCUCUUAAAGUUGAGAUUAAAAAAUUCAGCUCACGCAGGACAAAGAAAAACCAUUCAAACGAUAAGGUUGACUGAGCCACACGGAUUGGAGUUGAGAAAAACCAUGGUAUAGAUAUGUCCAACGAUAAGAAAAACCAUUAAAAUUACACCAAGCCUGACCUUGGCCUAUAAAUAUGUCCAAUCUUCUACAACUAUAGUAUAGAUUAGAAAGAAACGAUGGCAAGAAGUUUGAUGGCACUAGGUGGUGGUGGUGGCGGCGGUGGCGGAGAGCAAGUAGGCAUGGUGGCUUCAAGCUCUGGGGCGCUGCUCUUGCUAUGCAUGAUCAUCAUGUCUGUCUCUAUUAUAUCCAUGGUCAUAUUUGCUUGUGGGGAUACUUCUACUUCACCUCGCAAGAAACAAAGGAAGGAUUUCAAAUGUGACGAUUGUGAUUGUUUUUCUCUUUGUUUUGGGGAUGGUGAUGGUGGUGGUGACGGUGGUGGUGAUGGUGGUGGUGGUCAUGGUGGUGAUGGUGGUGGUGGUCAUCAUGGUGGUGGUGGUCAUCAUGGUGGUGAUGGUGGUGGUGGUCAUCAUGGUGGUGGUGGUCAUCAUGGUGGUGGUGGUCAUCAUGGUGGUGAUGGUGGUGGUGGUCAUCAUGGUGGUGGUGGUCAUGGAGGUGGUCAUGGAGGUGGUCAUGGUGGUGGUCAUGGUGGUGGUCAUGGUGGUCAUGGUGG
rnacentral:lncRNA from 1 species